rnacentral:lncRNA from 1 species
CUCUAUUCUGGCAUUCUGCAGUUCAGUCCACAGAUACAAACCUUCCAUUUUGAUACCAAUGCAUACUUAGUAUAGAUCUGAUAUCGAUGUUUGCGAGUAUUUUGGAUGAGUACUCACCGUUGCUUUGCUACCCCUUUUCCCCCAACUUUCUUCUUUCCGGUUGAUGCAACCAGAUGGUGGAUCCUUGGAGCCAGAUGCCCCGCCGAUGGAUGCUACUACGUGGAGACCGCCGACGACCAGGAGUAGUUAGGAGGUCCCAGACAGGAGGCCUUGCCUCUUCGAUCGUGUUGCUUUUGUGUUGGCCUUCUUAAGGCAUCCUUGUUUAACUUAUGUCUGUACUCAGAUAUUGUUGCUUCCGCUGACUCUUGUGUAUCGAGCUAUGUAUUCGUGCCCUCGAGGGCCUUGGCUUGUAAUAUAAAGCUUGUAUUAUUUUGAUUUGUAUCUAGAGUUGUGUUGUGAUAUCUUCCCGUGAGUCCCUGAUCUUGAUCGUACACAUUUGCGUGUAUGAUUAGUGUAUGAUUGAAUUGGGGGCGUCACACACGUGACAACCACUUCACUAGCCAAUAAUCAUGUGUUGUGAAACACAUCUCGUGACAACUGUGACUGACCCAAAUUAUUUUUGCAUGAAUAAAAUAAUAUUAUUGCCUUUUCGAUAUGUCAAUAAACUUUACAACAGCUACUAGAAAGUGUUAAGAAAAUGCCAAAAGUGUGUGCGAUACAAGUAACGUCAUAAUAAAUUACCUACAAACUAUUGGCAAUAUAGUCCCUCAAUUCCAAACGCCCCUGCUCUCCAUGGCAUCUCCCCUUCCCACCCAUGGCCAUGGUCCAAUCCCCGGAGAUACCCAAGCCUUUGAUAUUGGUGACUUCUACACCUCCCCGCCUCUCGACGACGAGGGCACUAAGGAAUUUAUGGUAAGUUGUAACCCUGCCUUACCCCCUCUAUCUGAUUAUUCUUAAUCGGGACUUCAGUUGGUUGGGGAAAUCGAUUCUUUACCUAAUGGAUCAACCCUUUUGGUAGAUCUGCAUUUUCUAUUUAAGAACAUGCAAAUAUGUAAAUGUUUCUGCAUGUUCUUGGGGGUAGGGGUACUAUUUGAUCUUCUUCCAGAUUGCAAUUUUGCCUAGCCAGUUUUUUAGUUCUUUCUAGAUUGGUUAUUUAUCAGUUGCCUGAGAAUCACAAUUGGGCUAGUCUAUUUCAUGUUGGAUGGGUGGGGGAUUUGCCCCAUCGAGGCUGAUCUAGGACCUCCAUAGAGAUGAUGACGAGGGUUGAUUGGUGUGGGUGGGGAGGGGAGGCCUUUUGCUUCCACUUGGAUUAGGUAAGUGUGGAUCUCGGGAAGGGAGGGGUCGGAUAGGACCUUGCUGGUUGCGUGACAUGGGAGAUAAACCGGGGCGGCGGGAGGAUUCGUGCACUCUGUUCGCCUGAUCCAUAAAACAACUGAAUGUAGAGGAAACAAUCUAGUUGUUCAUUUCGAAUCCGAUGCCUCAAAUCCAAUGGGCUCAAAUGAUUUUUUAACUGAACCAUAGGGAGGCCCGUUUUAUAUAUAUGAAGAAGGUUGUUUUGAACUUAUUUCUCUAAUUGAUCAAAUCUUUGUAAUGUAGCUUAUCCCCUGGAUGCAAAUUUUGGCCUUGAGAGUACCCUCUGACCCUCCUUAGUUCAACCAAAUGAACUAAGUUUUCGUAUUCACAUUACUUUUGAUUUUUUUACUUCAUUUGAUUGGACUGAAGGUAUUAAAUUUGCGUGAUUAGUUUCUUACAUGAUCUAAAAACUACAAAUGUUUGAAAACACUUGCCUUUGAUGUUGACCUCUACAUGUUUUUUAUUCUUUAAAAUCACCUUAAUAUUUUCUUUAAAAUUAUUUUUGGCACUUCUUUCUUCAGCUUUACCUAACCAUUGUUUUUUCUAACUGAGCCAGUUUUCAUACUAGAGUUCUAAGGUGUUGUGAAAAAUACAAAUCUUCGGUAAUAUGUACAUACUUAAUUCUGAUUCCAACCUGCCAUUGCUUGACCAUGUACAUGAAAAAAUGUGACUUUAUCAACACAUUUUAUUUCACAGAACACUCACUGGCUUUCUCAUCUAAAAGAAAGAGGAUAUACUACAGUGAGUAGCUCAUUCAAGUUAGGCAAUUGCACAAGAAAAUUAUAAGACCAUUAUUCCUUACUAGUUCUACAUACUCAUGAUGUUGUUGGUGCUGUCAGGGGACAUGAUCAUAUUUUCUCUCUUAGGCAUGCACCUUCUUUUCAAAAACAUGUUAUCUUAAUUAGUUCUAGUUACAACAAAUAGAUGGUACUGACUUUACUGCAUGGUUUUGCUGCUGUCACCAAGUUCAAGAAGCAUAAUAUAUAUUUGAUUAAUAUGAAGUGUGAGGCUAGAUAAUAUUGUCUACUAGUUAUUUUUGUUCUAAUGUGUUGUUUUACUAGUUUCCUGCUCAAAUCUAAUGCUCUGUGGUCGUCUUUGGUAUAAUAGUACUUCUGGGAGCAUGUUCAUUGCAAUUUUAUAUACUCUGCUAAACUAUUAAUCACAUGUCUUGUCUUAUCUUAUAGACUUGCAUGAUGGAGGUUGCACAGUUUGGACCUUGGUCAGAUCUUCCACCAGAACUCUUGGGCCUUGUCCUUAAGCGCCUCCCUUCUUUAGCCGACCGUGUUCGCCUGAGAGCAGUUUGUCACCCAUGGCGCUCCAAUAGUAUAUUGCACACCCUUCCCCUCCCAUUCCCCUGGCUCACCCUCCCUGAUGGAACCUUCCUCAGCAUCUCAGGAAACGAGGUUCACCGCUUGCCUCUACCACAUGGUGCUCGAUGGCAUGGCUCAAUUGACAAGAGAUUAUUACUCAUGAGCAGUGAUGGAGUAUGUUCAUUGUUGGACCCUUUCUCAAAGAUGACACUGGGUCUUCCUAACCUUGUCACCAUUUGGCAGAGCGAAAUAGAUGAUCGUACUGAACAGACUCAUGUACCAGUUUCCUAUAAGUUGGUGGAGCCCUCAGACAUGGACUCAUCAGAGAAGUUCGUUGUUGCUGCACUGAUCCCUGACAAAGGUUAUUCCCCCAAUCUUUGUAUCAUCCAACCGCCUGAUACAUCUUACACAUUCAAGGGUGUACGUAAUUGGGACCGACAUAUAUUACUGGACUUUGGAUUCUUCCAUGGAAGGUUAUAUGUGGUGUCUGAGUUUUACAAGCUUUUCACCAUUGAUUUUGGCGAGAACCUUUGUGGUGGUCCAAACAUCAAAUGCGUAAUUGACACUAUUGGCGAUUAUCUUCGAUCACCUGCAUACUUUUGUCAGAAGGGUGUGCGUGGAUUAUUGCUGUAUUUAGUUGAAUGUGGUAAUAAACUACUGAUGGUUCAACGGUUUACACACUGCUCACAGUCCUCACAGGGUUUCAGUAAUGACUACACUGGUGGAUUUACGGUCCUUGAGGCGGACUUGCAAACCAACCCUGCUCAGUGGAGAAUGGUAAGUGAUCUUGGUGGUCAUGCACUCUUUCUUGGCAGGCAAAGCUCCAAGGCUGUGCCUGCAGGAGAAUGCAGUGGAUCCCAAGAGGAUUGCAUCUACUUCAUCUGCGACUAUCCUUGUCCAAAGUCUUCUACAAAUCCCCUUCAUGAUGCUGGUAUAUACAACAUGAGAAACGGGAUGAUCAUGCCAUUGCAUUCAGGGAGUGCUGCAGUACCGCAACGCCAAGCUGGCCAGUGGGGUCUCACAUGGUUUUUUCCUCCUAAAGUUGUAUGAUCAAGCCCAACAUUGUUUGUUGAUCUUUGUGAUCAACCAACCUGCCUGGGUUCUUCUCCUAUACCUUGCUUAGUACUUAUGAUGGUGUGCACUUUGAACUUUCAAGUCUUGUGAUUGUCUUAAUGGGAUUGUGUCAUCUAAUGUUUAAGUCUUUCGUUGUAGAAACUUUGAAGUUUCCUCUUUGUGGCAUGUAUGUGUUUUAAGUCUUCCGUGGUGGAAACUUGAUGUUUUAUGACCAACCAGGGAUGGUUUUUUAAGCUUUCUAAUCAACCAACAUGUAUGGAUCCCGCCUAUGUUUUAUCCUACUGAUAUGNNNNNNNNNNNNNNNNNNNNNNNNNNNNNNNNNNNNNNNNNNNNNNNNNNNNNNNNNNNNNNNNNNNNNNNNNNNNNNNNNNNNNNNNNNNNNNNNNNNNNNNNNNNNNNNNNNNNNNNNNNNNNNNNNNNNNNNNNNNNNNNNNNNNNNNNNNNNNNNNNNNNNNNNNNNNNNNNNNNNNNNNNNNNNNNNNNNNNNNNNNNNNNNNNNNNNNNNNNNNNNNNNNNNNNNNNNNNNNNNNNNNNNNNNNNNNNNNNNNNNNNNNNNNNNNNNNNNNNNNNNNNNNNNNNNNNNNNNNNNNNNNNNNNNNNNNNNNNNNNNNNNNNNNNNNNNNNNNNNNNNNNNNNNNNNNNNNNNNNNNNNNNNAUUAAUUGAAUGCGCGUGUGUUACUAUGAGAAAAUUUAGUAAAGAGACAACUAAAUAAAAUGACUAAAAUCAUAUUAUAUGGUGCAUAUUUAUUGGAGGGAGUAAAGUGCACAAACCCUGAUUGACAAAGACUUGCUCCUUUCCGUAUAAGUUCCACCCAUAUUUAUUACGGCUUUGCCCAAGUUCAUAUUAUGAUCCGUGGAAAGCAACGCCCAUGUUUUCCUAUUCACGGCUUGUGAAGCUCGUCGAUUCGUGCAAAGCAACAUGCAUGCUUUCGUUUAGGGUUCUAGUUUCCGCUACUAAUGUGCGUCUUAGGGUAUCUUUAAUACGGACCCUCAAACCAUCCACAUCCAUCCGGACUACGUUGUUCGGGCGUGUUUUGUCAUCUUACGUGGGCGUGUAUCUGCCCGCUGGCCAGUAUAUAUGGACGUCUUUUUUCACGCAAACUGGAAGCAUAUCAGGGGCUUUGCGGGUGUCUGGACCACUACCGCACGCUUCCAACAACCCUGGUCCAUCCCAAACCCUUUUCCUCACUCGUGCCCUUUCUCGUCUGAAGCGGUUAGCGCCGCUCCAGAGCGACAACACCACAUUCAUGCCGGCGCACAACAGACUCAACCUCUCACUGGAACUGGCAUUGAAGCGGCGCUUCGGCCAAGAGUGUUGCCCGCUGCACUCACCUUCGCUCCGCAUUAAACGACAUCCGUCCGCCCGCCUACCUCUGUUAAACCAGUGCGUCUGCCGAGAAAUCAGGGCGCCACAUGUUCGUCCGCAUGUCGGACGACAUUAAACACCUCGCCUCAUGGCGCCUGGCAUAAGCCCGCUAUUUGAACAUGGCGAGGCACCGGGUAACAGACGCACCAUACCUUCGCUCUCCAUAUCCUCUUUGUAGCACACGACAUGGCCUCGUGCUCCAAAGUCCUAUGGGUUGGCCUCUCAAGGAGCUCUCCGGCAUUGCAGCCGCCUAGGUGGCCUGCCGAGCCAGCCUGGCUUGUCCGGAAGCUCUUCGGAGCAAACAACACUACCCUUGCCGGUCCAGGAUGGCAUCACCAUGGACUGUGCUCUCCAGGACAAGCUGUCCUACGUCGCCGCCUGCCAAAUCCACUUCAAGCGAUGGCGGCACCGUAUCGACAGGCAGAGAAAAAAAGCCAUGUUCGUGGAGAUUGAUGUGGCGGCAGAGGAAUUUGACCAGGGCACCAACGACGACGACGCCAAAUCAGCGGCGGCCAAGCCCUGCUGCCACAACUACAAAGCUGACACGUCCGCGACUGCAGCCGACAACGAGGAGGUAUACCUCUUGGAAAUAUGCCCUAGAGGCAAUAAUAAAAUGAUUAUUAUCAUAUUUCCUUGUUCAUGAAAAAUGUUUAUUAUCCAUGCUGGAAUUGUAUUGACCAGAAACUUAAAUAUAGAUGUGAUACAUAAACAACACCGUGUCCCUAGUGAGCCUCUACUAGACCAGCUUGUUGAUCAAAGAUGAUUAAGGUUUCCUAACCUUAUACAUGUGUUUUAAUUUGAUAAAGGGAUCACAUCAUUAGGAGAAUGAUGUGAUGGACAGACCCAACCAUAAGCUUAGCAUUAGAUCGCAUCACCUAGUUUAUUUGCUACAACUUCUUCAUGUCAAGUAUCUGUUUCUUAGACCAUGAGAUCAUGUCACUCCCGAAUACCGAAAGAAUACUUUGUGGGUUAUCAAAUGCCACUUCGUAACUGGAUGAUCAUAAAGAUGCUCUAUAGGUAUCUCGAGAAGUGUUUGUUGGGUUGCAUGGAUCGAGACUGGAAUUUGUCGCUCCGUAUGACGGAGAGAUAUCUCUAGGCCCUCUCGGUAAUACAACAUCGUGAAUAGCUUGCAAGCAUGCGACUAAUGAGUUUAGUCACAGGUAUGUUGUACUCCCUCCAUCCCAAAUUAAGUGGCUCAACUUUGUACUAACUUUAGUACAAAGUUGAGUCACUUAUUUUGGGACGGAGGGAGUAUUACGGAACGAGUAAAGAGACUUGUCAGUAACGAGAUUGAACUACGUACGGUGAUGUCGAUGAUCGAAUCUCCGGCAAGUAACAUAUCGCCAGCCAAAGGGAAUUGUAUACGGGAUUAACUGAAUCCUCGAAAUCGUGGUUCAACCAAUAAUGAUCUUUGUUGAAUAUGUGGGAGUCAAUAUGGGAAUCCAAGUCCCGCUAUUGAUUAUUGAUCGGAGAGGAGUCUCGGUCAUGUCUGCAUGUUCUCGAACCCGUAUGGUCACACACUUAACGUUCGGUAAUGCUACGGUGGUAUUGGGAUAUUCAUAUGGUGAAGUCAGAAAGUAGUUCGGAAUCCCGUAUGGGAUCCAGUACAUCACGAGGAGCUGCAGAAUGGUCUGGAGGUCAAUAUUUAUAUAUGGGAAGUCAUAUUCAGGGUUCCAGAAAAUGUUUGGAUUUUUGAAUAGUGUACCGGGAAGGUUCUAGAAGGUUCCGAAAUGGGCCACAUGCAUGGGGGCCCACAUGGACAUGGGUAGUUGGGCAAGGAAUAAGAUCAUACCUGGAAGGGAUAAGAUCAAGAUUUCUAAAAAGGGGGGAUAUUGAUCAGUGGGGAAGGAAAGGAGGGGAUUUCCUUCCCCCCGUUAACCAACGACCCUAGGGACUUGGAGGGCAAGCCACCAGCCCCCCCUACCCCAUGCAUAUAUAAAGGUGGGGAGGCGCAGGGGGCAGCAGCCCUUAUAGCCUUGGUCGCUGCCUCUCCCUAACCCCUUCCAUCUCCUCCGUGCAAACACUUGGCGUAGCCCUGCUGCAGUUCCGCUGCCACCGCCACCACCAUGCCAUCAUGAUGGCCUAGAGCCCAUCUACCUCUCCACCCUCCCUUGCUGCAUCAAGAAGGCACAGACGUCACUGAGCCGUACGUGUGCACACCUCAGAGGUGUCGUUCGUUCAGCAUUGGAUCAGAUUGGAUCGCAAAGGGAGUACAACUACGCCAACCACGAUCUCUAGAUUGUUAACACUUUUGGUCUACAAGGGUAUGUAGACACCCCCCCCCCCUCUCGUUGCUAGCAUCUCCAUAGAAUAGAUCUCGGAUGUUUCGUAUGAUUUUUUUGUUUUCUAUGCAACCUUCCCCAACAAGACCAUGGGAAGCCGCCGCCGCUUGGGUCCCAGGAAGGCCACCACCACCAUAUUGCCAGGUUACACAACCCGUGACUUUCCAUCUUCGCGGGGGCAUAGGCCACCGCGACCAUAUUCUCCCGCCUAAAAGCUAACCACUAAUUCGGUCUUUGCGGAGGGGAGGCUAUUCUUCCCCUCCCGCUGAAGCAUUUAGCUCUAGGGCUCACGACGGGCAAGUGAUUUUGCUGUCGGACACGGGGAAGACAUGUCAUGGCAAACGGGCUCCACCUCGACCGCAAUAGACUAGGUUAGAAUAUCCUAUGCUAGUCCGAUAUUGUUUUGUUGAAAUAUGUCUGAAAUGUAAAUGUUUUCGUUCGGUUUAUAUUGAAAUCAUCCAGUUUGUUAAAAUUCACUUUAAUUUGGAAUGUAUGCGGGCAGGGUUUGAUGGCGGCUUCCGCAUCAGUGUCCGUGGACUGGUCCCCACCGAUCCGCAAAUGGAUAUGAUGUCUAGUUUGGGAGGCCAACAUUCGAGAUGCCCUUAUUAGCUUUACUUUUGGUUUGGAAGGAUCCUUUCCGCUUUUUUCUCGUUUCUUGCCUUACAUGGUUUCCCCCCUACGAGACCUGGCCAGGGUGGUUCUUGGGGCAGCUAUGCAUUAUUUGCCUUUUUCCUUCAUCUUUCUCUUAUUAUUUAUAUUAUACUUUUCAUUUAUUAUUUCAUGCUUCUUUAUCAGCAACCACCAUAAAAAAAGCCAAGUUUGCGGAGAUUGAUGCGGUGGCGGAGGAAUGUUUUCUCAAGUUUGUGAACAUUUUUGAAAAUCAUGCACAAGUUUUUAAAAAUCACAAACAAUUAUCGAAUUCUGAUGUUUACUGAAAUGCGGUAACAAUUUGCAAUUGAUAAAAAAAUCAUAUCCGUGAACAUCCUCUACAAGUUUAACCGUGGCUACCUAGGCCAUCGCUCAGGCCAUCUGCAGAUUUGCAGUGGCUGGCAAGUGGGCCAUCUAACUGUGGUGUACCCUGUACAUCAGAUUCUGUGCAAUGUACCACUGGAUGUGGCCCCAGUUGUGUGGUAGAGCUGGCUGCAUUUGGGCCUGCUGUGUGCGGUCUCAUCGAUGACCAACCCACAAGCUUCCAUUCCAAUAGAAAAAAUGGGUGGCGCACGGUUUCCAUCAAUUUUGCAUGUUUUUUUGCGGCACAGUUUCCUUUGGUUCUUUUGACUGUUUCUUUUAUUUUUUUUAUCUGGUUUUCUUUUUUUUGGCAUUCCUUGAUUUUUAUGGUUUUUUUUUCUGAUUCAUUCAUAUUUUUCAAAUUUUUAGAUAUUGUUCAAAAUUCAUUAAAAUCUUUAUAAAUUGACUAUAUUUUUAUUUUAUGAACAUCUUUUAAAAUUCAUGAACACCUUUUUUAAAUCCAUGAUUUAAAAAGACUAAGAGCAUUUCAAAAAUCUAAACUAGGUUUUCCAAGAGCUGGGAACAUGGCUUUUUAAACUGGUUAGAUAUUUUUUAUGUUGUAAUGCGGCUUUCAACAGUCUUUUACUAGCCGGGUACACAAUUUUGUCAACAAAGUUUUUCAUAGCUAGGAGCAUGGUUUUCUUCAAUUGGUUUAUUUUUCUUCGGACACAGCAACUUCAGAUUUUUCUUUGAGUGGGAGCCGCCCAUGUGGAUGUUUCAGGGGCAACCCAUCGCUAAAGGCGACGAAUAGGAUCUCCCAUAUACACGAGUGCUUCAACAAGACAAUAUAGGGCACAGGAAAGGGUUGGGCACAUAUGGCCACAUGUGCCCAUGGUUACUUCCAUUUUUUUCUUUCAUUUAUCACAAUUGCAAAAAAAGAUAUGUACAUUUUUUUCUCACAUGAGCUAUAGAGGAAAUGUAAAGUGUAUACUUCAAAAGAUUGUUUAUCUUGUUUUAAAAAUGUGAAUGUUUACAAAAAAUAUGCAUGUGCUUUUAGAAAAUGUUCAUGUAAAAAAACAUUAAUGUGUUAAAGAUGUUCGUGCGAUUAAAAAUGCUCAUGUGUUUUUUAAAAUGGUUAUGUGUUCAAAAGAUGACCGUGCAUUUCUAAAAUGUUCACAUGUCGAGAGCAGCGAUUAGGUGCCCAGGCUCAUCUGCACCCGUGCUGAAGAAAAAAAUUUAAAACAAAUAGUAGAAAAAUUCAAAAAAUCCGGUAGAUAAUUUAGUGUGUGAGGUCCACUCCAAAAUUCAGAUCAUUUGGACAUCUAGGUAGCUCUCGGCAAAAAAGAUAAAUUUGGGGUCUGUAAAAAAGUUUUCUUUUCAUGUACUAUUCGGACCCAUUUUUUUGCUAAGUGCUACUCAUAUGUCCAAAUGAUUUGAAAUUUGGAGCGCACCUCACGCAUCAAAUUAUCUACCAUGCAAAAAUUGGAAUUUUUAUGAAUUUUCUGUGAAUUUUUUCUUGAUCGGUAUUGAUGAGUCUGGGCUCAAAACGGAUAUUCGUUACAUGUCAAAUUUGCAUGUGCUUAAAAAUGUCCACACAUUAAAAAUGUUUAGGUAUUUUGUAAAGGUGAAAAAUAAAACUACAAAAUGGAAAACAAAGAUUAAACUGAAAGAAAUUUGGCAGAAAUGGCAGAGAGCCAAAAGAAAACUAUGCGUGUGUGGCGCUAACGUGAAAAGUCACCGAAAUGUACAGUCAUGCACAUGAAUUCUUCGCAUGUGCGAUUAGGCUAUUAUUUUCCGCGUCAGGCGGAGAACAGGAUUUGCCCCCAUCACAAAAUAUUCAUAACCUAAGGGGACACAUAGGCCAUGAAUAGGAUCUUGCGGAUAAACAUAGACAAAUGUUCAAAUCCACCAUCACCAACAAUGCAUAACCCAAACCUACAUAAAAUGUACACGGAGAACAUGGUUAUAGCUGGGCGGGGCAGAGCGCACCUUUUUGUCUAGUUUUUUGAAACCCGAGAACAUUUUUCUAGUUCAUGAGAUUUUUCAGAAGUUUAAGAGCAAUUUUUUAAAUAUGCGAAUCUUUUAUGAUUUUGUGAACAUUUUUUGAAUUGACAAACAAUUAUUGAAAUUGGGGAACAAGUUUUUAAAUUUACCACCAUUUUCUGAAGCAUGGAUAUUUUUAAAAAAAAUCAGAAUAUUUUUCAAAUUCAUGAACAUUUUUAUUUCAUGUUUUUUUUAAAUUAGGAACGAUUUUCAAACUUAUGAAUUUUUUUAUAAUCUGUGAAUAUUUUUAAAAAUGUGUAUUUUUUUGAAAUCUUUUUCUCAAUGAUAUAAAAAAAUAGUAGUAAAAGGAUGAAAUGGAAAAACUAGGCGUGCAGGCACAAAAGGGCAUGCGGUAACCAGAGGGUGCGCGUUUGGGCAACUAGGACCGCACUAUGUGCGAAAUGGGGCGAGCUCCAAAUCAAGCGCGGAGGAUGAAGACGAGCAGCUCUCCCUCGGCGGCGUCGCAUCGAGUAAAUGGGGUAGGGAUUUGACGAGAAAAAUCGAUGUUUCAACCCUCAACUAGCCUUCAAUUUUAUAACCCUUAUCUUUGAAAUCGGUCGAAUUGCACCCUCAAAUUGGCACAAUGUUCAAAAAAUUGAAGGAAAUAUGCCCUAGAGGCAAUAAUAAAGUUAUUAUUUAUUUCCUUAUUUCAUGAUAAAUGUUUAUUAUUAAUGCUAGAAUUGUAUUAACCGAAAACAUAAUACAUGUCUGAAUACAUAGACAAACAUAGUGUCACUAGUAUGCCUCUACUUGAUUAGCUCGUUAAUUAAAGAUGGUUAAGUUUACUAAUCAUAGACAUGAGUUGUCAUUUGAUUAACGGGAUCACAUCAUUAGGAGAAUGAUGUGAUUGACUUGACCCAUUCCGUUAGCUUAGCACUUGUUUGUUUAGUAUGUUGCUAUUGCUUUCUUCAUAACUUAUACAUGUUCCUAUGACUAUGAGAUUAUGUAACUCCCGUUUACCAGAGGAACACUUUGUGUGCUACCAAACAUCAUAACGUAACUGGGUGAUUAUAAAGGUACUCUACAGGUGUCUCCAAAGGUACUUGUUGAGUUGACGUAUUUCGAGAUUAGGAUUUGUCACUCCGGUUGUCGGAGAGGUAUCUCUGGGCCCUCUCGGUAAUGCACAUCACUAUAAGCCUUGCAAGCAAUGUAGCUAAUGAGUUAGUUACGAGAUGAUGCAUUACGUAACGAGUAAAGAGACUUGCCGGUAACGAGAUUGAACUAGGUAUUGGAUACCGAUGAUCGAAUCUCGGGCAAGUAACAUACCGAUGACAAAGGGAGCAACGUAUGUUGUUAUGCGGUUUGACCAAUAAAGAUCUUCGUAGAAUAUGUAGGAGCCAAUAUGAGCAUCCAGUUUACGCUAUUGGUUAUUGACCGGAAACGAGUCUCGGUCAUGUCUACAUAGUUCUCGAACCCAUAGGGUCCGCACGCUUAAGGUUUCAUUGACAGUUUUAUUAUGAGUUUAUAAGUUUUGAUGUACCGAAGGUUGUUCGGAGUCCCGGAUAUGAUCACAGACUUGACGAGGAGUCUCAAAAUGGUCGAGACAUAAAGAUCGAUAUAUUGGACGACUAUAUUUGGACACCGGAAAGGUUCCGGGUGAGAUUGGGACAAUACCGGAACUCCGGGAGGUUAUCGGAACCCUCCGGGAGGUAUAUGGGCCUUAUUGGGCCUUAGUGGAAAGGAGGGAGAAGGAGCAAAGGAGGGGGCGCCCCCCCAAGCCCAAUCCCGCCCCCUUUCCUUAUUCCCUCCCACCUCUUCCUUCCCUCUCCCUCUCCUAAUAGGAAAGGGGGAGUCCUACUCCCGGUUCGGGUUGGACUCCCCCCCUAGGGCGCGCCACCCUCCCUUGGUCGGCCCCUUCCUCCACUCUUUUAUAUACGGGGGAGGGAGCACCCCAUAGACACAACAAUUGAUCUCUUGAUCUCUUAGCCGUGUGCGGUGCCCCCCUCCACCAUAGUCCUCCUCGAUAAUAUUGUAGCGGUGCUUAGGCGAAGCCUUGCAACGGUAGAACAUCAAGAUCGUCACCACGCCGUCGUGUUGACGGAACUCUCCCUCGACACUCGGCUGGAUCGGAGUUCGAGGGACAUCAUCGAGCUGAACGUGUGCUAGAACUUGGAGGUGCCAUAGUUUCGGUGCUUGAUCGGUCGGGUCAUGAAGACGUACGACUACAUGAACCGCGUUGUUCUAACGCUUCCGCUUUCGGUCUACGAGGGUACAUGGACAACACUCUCCCCUCUCGUUGCUAUGCAUCAAUGAUGACCCACAAGUAUAGUGGAUCUAUCAUAGUCCUUUCUAUAAGUAAGAGUGUCGAACCCAACGAGGAGCAGAAGGAAAUAAUAAGCGGUUUUCAGCAAGGUCUCUGCAAGUACUGAAAUAAGUGGUAACAGAUAGUUUUGUGAUAGGAUAAAUUGUAACAAGCAACAAGUAACAAAAGUAAAUAAAGUGCAGCAAGGUGGCCCAAUCCUUUUUGUAGCAAAGGAAAAGACUGGAAAAACUCUUAUAAUAGGAAAAGCGCUCCCGAGGACACAUGGGAAUAUCGUCAAGCUAGUUUUCAUCACGCUCAUAUGAUUCGCGUUCGGUACUUUGAUAAUUUGAUAUGUGGGUGGACCGGUGCUUGGGUAUUGCCCUUACUUGGACAAGCAUCCCACUUAUGAUUAACCUCUAUUACAAGCGUCCGCAACUACAACAAAAGUAUUAAGGUAAACCUAACCAUAGCAUGAAACAUAUAGAUCCAAAUCAGCCCCUUACGAAGCAACGCAUAAACUUGGGUUUAAGCUUCUGUCACUCUAGCAACCCAUCAUCUACUUAUUACUUCCCAAUGCCUUCCUCUAGGCCCAAAUAAUGGUGAAGUGUUAUGUAGUCGACGUUCGCAUAACACCACUAGAGGUUAGACAACAUACAUCUUAUCAAAAUAUCGAACGAAUACCAAAUUCACAUGACUACUAAUAGCAAGACUUCUCCCUUGUCCUCGGGAACAAACAAAAUUACUCACAAAUCAUAUUCAUGUUCAUAAUCAGAGGGGUAAUAUUGUGCAUAAAUGAUCUGAACAUAUGAUCUUCCACCAAAUAAACCAACUAGCAUCAACUACAAGGAGUAAUCAACACUACUAGCAACCUACUAGCACCAAUCCCGGACUUGGAGACACGAAUUGGAUACAAGAGAUGAACUAGGGUUUGGAGAUGAGAUGGUGCUGGUGAAGAUGUUGAUGGAGAUUGCCCUCUCCCGAUGAGAGGAGCGUUGGUGAUGACGAUGGUGAUGAUUUCCCCCUCCCGGAGGGAAAUGUCCCCGGCAGAACAGCUCUGCGGGAGCCCUAGAUUGGUUCCGCCUCGUGGUGGCGGAGUCUCAUCCCGAAAGGUUCUCUGCUAUUUUUUUCUCAUCAAAAGACUUCAUAUGGGAGAAGAUGGGCGUCGGAGAGCCACCAGGGGGGCCACGAGGUAGGGGGCGCGCCCCCACCCUCAUGAACAGGGUGUGGGCCCCCUGGCCUUCAUCUUUGGGGACGAUUUUUCUUUAUUAUUCUAAGGUAUUCCGUGGAGUUUCAAGACUCUUGGAGUUGCGCAGAAUAGUCCUUCAAUAUUUGCUCCUUUUCCAGCCCAGAAUUCCAGCUGCCGGCAUUCUCCCUCUUCAUGUAAACCUUGUAAAAUAAGAGAGAAUAGCCAUAAGUAUCGUGACAUAACGUGAAAUAACAACCCAUAAUGCAAUAAAUAUCGACAUAAAAGCAUGAUGCAAAAUGGACGUAUCAACUCCCCCAAGCUUAGACCUCGCUUGUCCUCAAGUGAAAAGCCGAUAACAAUAAAUAUGUCCUCACGUUCUAGUUCGAGAGGUAAAUGACAUGCUUUUCCAUAGACCAUUUUAUACGGAGACAUACCCAUAAGAUUUUUAUAUGCAGUUCUAUAGGCCCAUAAUGCAUCAUCCAGUUUUUUGGACCAAUUCUUUCAAGACCUAUUGACAGUCUUUUGCAAAAUUAAUUUGAGCUCUCUAUUGCUCAAUUCUACCUGACCACUCGACUGCGGGUGAUAUGGAGAUGCAAUUCUAUGAUUAACGUCGUAUUUAGCAAGCAUCUUACCGAAAGCACCAUGAAUAAAGUAUGAACCACCAUCAGUCAUUAAGUAUCUAGGGACUCCAAACCUCGAAAAAAUAACUUCCUUAAGCAUUUUAAUAGAAGUGUUAUGAUCGGCACUACUAGUUGGAAUAGCUUCUACCCACUUAGUAACAUAAUCAACAGCAACUAGAAUAUGAGUGUAACCAUUAGAGGCAGGAAAAGGUCCCAUGUAAUCAAAGCCCCAAACAUCAAAUGGCUCAAUAACAAGUGAAUAGUUCAUAGGCAUUUCUUGACGUCUACUAAUAUUACCAAUUCUUUGACAUUCAUCGCAAGACAAAACAAACUUACGGGCAUCCUUGAAGAGAGUAGGCCAAUAAAACCCGGAUUGCAAUACCUUAUGUGCAGUUCUAUCUCUGGCGUGGUGUCCUCCGUAAGCUUCGGAGUGACACUUGUGUAGGAUCUGUUCAUGUUCAUGCUCAGGUACACAACGUCUAAUAACACCAUCUACUCCUUCUUAUAAAGAUGUGGGUCAUCCCAAAAGUAAUGUCGCAAGUCAUAGAAAACCUUUUUCUUUUGUUGGUAUGUGAAACUAGGCGGUGUAAAUUUAGCAACAAUAUAAUUAGCAUAAUAAGCAUACCAUGCAGUGAUACGAGAAGUACUUAUGACAUUUAAUUGCUCAUCAGGAAAGCUAUCAUCAAUAGGUAGUGGGUCAUCAAGAACAUUCUCUAGCCUAGACAAGUUGUCGGCAACGGGGUUCUCAGCUCCUUUUCUAUCAACAAUAUGUAAAUCAAAUUCUUGAAGCAAAAGAACCCAUCUAAUGAGUCUAGGUUUUUCAUCUUUCUUUUCCAUAAGAUAUUUAAUAGCAGCAUGAUCUGUAUGAAUAGUUACUCUAGAAUCAACAAUAUAGGGUCUGAAUUUAUCACAAGCAAAUACAACCGCUAAAAGUUCCUUUUCGGUAGUAGCAUAAUUUCUUUGAGCAUUGUCUAGAGUCUCACUAGUAUAAUGGAUAACAUUCAAUUUCUUAUCAACUCUUUGCCCUAGAACAACACCUACAGCAUAAUCACUAGCAUCACACAUAAUUUCAAAGGGUAAAUUCCAAUCAGGUGGUUGAACAACAGGUGCAGAGACUAAUGCUUUUUUAAGUAUUUCAAAUGCUUCUACACAAUCAUCAUCAAAGACAAAUGGUACAUCUUUUUGUAGUAAAUUAGUCAGAGGCCGAGAGAUUUUUGAGAAGUCCUUGAUGAACCUCCUAUAAAAUCCGGCGUGACCAAGGAAACUUCUUAUACCUUUGAUGUCCUUGGGACAUGGCAUCUUUUCAAUAGCAUCAACCUUGGCUUUAUCAACUUCAAUACCUCUUUCAGAAACUUUGUGCCCCAAGACAAUACCUUCAUUAACCAUAAAGUGGCACUUUUCCCAGAUCAAGGAUCACUAGAAGGUACAGCAAUAGAAGCAAGACCAAUAAUUUCAUCCUUACUAGGCAAUUCUUCCUCACUAUGUUGUUUACUAAAUUUAGAGAAAUUAAACUCAUGAACCAUAUCAUCCAAGCCAACAGUAACAACAUUCUUUUUGCAGUCUGUCUUAGCAUUAACAGUACGCAAGAAAGGUCUACCAAAUAUAAUGGGACAGAAGCUAUCUUGUGGAGAACCAAGAACAAGAAAAUCAGCGGGAUAUUUGGUUUUCCCACACAAGACUUCAACAUCUCUAACAAUUCCCAUUGGAGAUAUAGUAUCUCUAUUGGCAAGUUUAAUUGUAACAUCAAUAUCUUCUAACUCAGCAGGUGCAAUCUCAUGCAUAAUUUCUUUGUAUAAGCCAAUGGGUAUAACACUAGCACUAGCACCCAUAUCACAUAAGCCAUGAUAACGAUGAUCUCCUAUUUUAACAGAAAUAACAGGCAUGCCUACCACAGGUCUAUGUUUAUCUCUAUCACAGGGUUGAGCAAUUCUAGCAGUUUCACCGGUGAAUUGAAUAACAUGCCCAUCAAUAUUAUCAGACAAGAGAUCUUUAACAAUAGCAAUAUUGGGUUCUACUUUGACUUGCUCAGGAGGUGUAUAAGUCCUAAUAUUGCUUCUAUGAACAACAGUUGAAGCUUUAGCAUGAUCCUUUAUUCUAACAGGGAAAGGGGGUUUCUCAACAUAAGUAGGAACAAUAGGAUCAUUAUAAGUGACAAUCUUUUCUUCAACUUUAAUAGGUGCAGCUAUUUUUACUUCUAUGGGAGGAUGGUAUUUAAACCAGUUCUCCUUGGGGAGAUCAACAUAAGUAGCAAAAGAUUCACAUAAAGAAGCUACUAUCUCAGAGUCAAGUCCAUAUUUAGUGCUAAACUUAUGGAAAAUAUCGGUAUCCAUAAAAGAUUUAACACAAUCAAACUUAGGUGUCAUACCUGACUCCUUACCUUCGUCGAGGUCCCAAUCUUCAGAGUUGCAUUUAAUUCUAUACAAUAAAUUCCAUCCAAAUUCAAUAUACUUCACCAUAAAAGAGCCAGCACAAGAGGUAUCGAGCAUGGUGCGAUUCUUAUCAGAAAGCCGAGCAUAAAAAUUCUGAAGAAUUGUCAAUUUUGAGAGCUCAUGAUUGGGGCAUGAAUAUAAGAUUGAUUUAAGCCUCCCCCAAGCUUGAGCGAUGCUUUCUCCUUCGCGAGGCCAAAAAUUACAUAUAUAAUUGCGAUCACGAUGAACAAGAUGCAUAGGGUAAUACUUUUGAUGAAAUUCCAAUUUCAAUUUUUUAUAGUUCCAUGAUCUCGUAUCAUCACAUAGCCUAUACCAUGUCAAUGCGUCUCCCUCCAAAGAUAAAGGGAAAGCCUUCCUCUUAACGGCAUCAUCGGGUAUACCUGCAAGCUUAAAUAGUCCACAAAUAUCAUCCACAAAGCAUAGAUGUUCGUCAGGAUGCUUUGUUCCAUCUCCUGCGAAAGUAUUGGCUAGCAGUUUUUCCAUCAUACCCGAAGGAAUCUGAAAAGCAGUUUCAUUUUCAAUAGGUUCAGUAGGUUCAGUAGGUUGAGGAGCAAUUCUUGGCUCAACUGGACGGGGUGAAGAUACCUCGAAUAAGCCCCUCAAACAAUUACUUUCCAUGGUAGCAAGUGACAGAAAAUUUCAGCACACUAAAUAAAUUUUUCCUUACCAAAUUCCACCUAGCAAAGGCGCUUCACUCCCCGGCAACGGCGCCAGAAAAGAGUCUUGAUGACCCACAAGUACAGGGGAUCUACCGUAGUCCUUUCGAUAAGUAAGAGUGUCGAACCCAACGAGGAGCAGAAGGAAAUGAUAAGCGGUUUUCAGCAAGGUAUUCUCUGCAAGUACUGAAAUAAGUGGUAACAGAUAGUUUUGUGAUAGGAUAAAUUGUAACAAGCAACAAGUAACAAAAGUAAAUGAAGUGCAGCAAGGUGGACCAAUCCUUUUUGUAGCAAAGGACAAGCCUGGACAAACCUUAUAAUAGGAAAAGCGCUCCCGAGGACACAUGGUAAUAUCGUCAAGCUAGUUUUCAUCACGCUCAUAUGAUUCGCGUUCGGUACUUUGAUAAUUUGAUAUGUGGGUGGACCGGUGCUUGGUUACUGCCCUUACUUGGACAAGCAUCCCACUUAUGAUUAACCUCUAUUGCAAGCGUCCACAACUGCAACAAAAGUAUUAAGGUAAACCUAAUUGUCGGUGUCAAAACCGGCAGAUCUCGGGUAGGGGGAGCCGAACUGUGCGUCUAGGCGGAUGGUAACAGGAGACAAGGGACAUGAUGUUUUACCCAGGUUCGGGCCCUCUUGAUGGAGGUAAAACCCUACGUCCUGCUUGAUUGAUAUUGAUAUUGUGGAUGUUUACAAGAGUAGAUCUACCACGAGAUCAAGGAGGCUAAACCCUAGAAGCUAGCCUAUGGUAUGAUUGGGGUUGUUGUUGUGUCCUACGGACUAAAGCCAUCCGGUUUAUAUAGACACCGGAGAGGGCUAGGGUUACAUAGAGUCGGUUACAAUGGUAGGAGAUCUACAUAUCCGUAUCGCCAAGCUUGCCUUCCACGCCAAGGAAAGUCCCAUCCGGACACGGGACAAAGUCUUCAAUCUUGUAUCUUCAUAGUCUUGGAGUCCGGUCGAUGAUGAUAGUCCGGCCGAUGAUAGAUCGGCCGAUGAUGGUAGUCCGGCUAUCCGGACACCCCCUAAUCCGGGACUCCCUCAGUAGCCCCUGAACCAGGCUUCAAUGAUGAUGAGUCCGGCGCGCAUAUUGUUCGGCAUUGCAAGGCGGGUUCCUCCUCCGAAUAAUUUGUCGAAGAUUGUGAACACAAGGAUAGUGUCCGGCUCUGCAAAAUAAAUUCCACAUUCCACCGUAGAGAGAAUAAUAUAUACACAAGUUCAAUCUGCUGACGUUUUUUGCGACAUGACGUCACACCACUACCAAGCCAUUACUUGAAUCGUUUUUACUUUACCACCUCAGCGCAUUUAGCAAAGCGGUUUCCUUGGCACGUCUUGUCGAAGCAGAGAUCGUGUUCCCCCUUAAUCCGGGAUUCUCAUCAAUACGAACGUGGGUAACCCAACCGCGCCCGUCGCCACGCCCCCUCUAUCGAAGGCAAGUCCCGAACGGUCACGGAGACGGCUCUCGGUAUUCUCCCUCUUUAUAACGGGACCAAGGCUCGUUUCUUUUCUUCAAUCCUCCAUCGAAUCCUCUUCCUGCUCCGAGUUCCAGCACCUAGAGCUCCAGAUUCGAGCGCUUCGGACCUUCAACGAUGUCCGGUUCCGACCUCCAGGGCUGGUGGAUGCUCUCCUCCGUCACGGAGGAGGACGUGCUAAAGCUGCGGGAGGCCAAGUACCUGACUUACGAGAUUUCGCACAGGUUGCGUGCCGAAGGGCAGGCCAUCCCCACCCCCGAGUCCGGCGAGUAUGUUGUUUUUGUAUCCCACCUCCGUCGGGGUUUAGGCUUCCCGAUGGAUCCUUUUGUGAGAGGGCUCAUGUUUUACUAUGGGUUGGAAUUCCACGAUUUGGCUCCGGAGUCCAUCCUCCAUAUCUCUGCAUUUAUUGUCGUCUGCGAAGCCUUCCUCCGCGUCACCCCUCACUUCAGCCUGUGGUUGAAGACCUUCAAUGUGGCGCCGAAGAUGAUCGGGGGGCGUCAAGCGGAGUGCGGCGGGGCGGCCGUAAGUAGGAGGGCCGAUGCCCCGUGGCCCGCGGGCUCCUUCCAAGAGGAGCUCGGCUUGUGGCAGCAAGAGUGGUUCUAUAUUACCGUUCCGAGGGGCCGCAAACAAAAGCCGCCGCCCUUAUUCCGCCCGGGACCUCCACGACGGUUGAUGUCGUGGGUCAACCAAGGGCUCAACUGGGGGCCUUCAAAGGACGUGCCCCUACUGCAGGGCCGGAUUCGAGAUCUCCAGGCGAGGGAGAUCGAUCUGGUCGUGGUGAUGUAGGUUAUGCUGAUCAGGCGUCACUUGCCCUACAAACACCGUCCUCUCCGACUAUGGGAAUUUAAUCCGGAGGGACCACGGAUUCUCCAACACUUCAUGGGCAAGACACCCGCGGAGAUGUACAAAUUAUUCUUCGGACCUCAAGUAGCGCGUCCGAAAUUGACCGAGGAUGCUGGCCUAAGCUGCAAUUGCCCGGAUACUCAAGUAAGUAGUUCCAAGUCCGGACAUACCGUUUGUUUGCCUUUCGAUGAUUCGCCUUAUAACCGAUUUCCUUCUAAACAGGAGUGGAUAGCGGAAGCAAAAUUGAUGUGGUGUCCAGCCCCCCUCCCCGAGACUGCGCCGAAUUCCGUGCUGGUCCGGAUGCUGGAGGUUGCGCCUCCAGAGCAAGGCGAAGGGGAAAGUAGAAAAGCUACCGCCUCACCUAAGGAGGCUCUUGAAAGAGGGGGGAUUGAGAAUCCCUCCCUCCAAGGGGAGAAGAGGACUGCCUCCAAGGACCCGGGGGCUAAAGCCCCUAAACGAGGGAAGAAAUCUUCGCCAGAGGGUCCUGCGUCUGGGGAGGCCCCGGCUGCACAGUCUCCCUUAAAGAAUCAGCCCUCCAACGAGCCGUAAGUAGAAAGAAAGGAGUUUUUUAAUAAGGGACAUCCCUUUUUGUGCUUCUGAGGAUAACUAAAGUUUUUACCUUGUAGUUCGGAUCUCCGUCCUUCGCAAAUGAGCUCGUCUUCGGGGGACCUUCGUCCGGAGAUGAUGGAGAGCGAGACGCCUCCGUCCGGGGCGCCGUCGGAUAGGGCGGACAAGCCUGAAGUGUCAUCAAGGAGGGAGCCCCCGGGUUUCGCGAAGCCGGAUAGUUCGGCGCCAACUGGUGUACGACUGAAGGAUCUGCUUGAGAAGGCGUCUAUCUCAGAAGAUCACCACGCAUUGAUGAGUGUGGUGAUUAAAAGGAUUUCAUCCGCCGAAGGCGGGUUGCAUAAUGCCGUCAGGAGUUUGCUGGCGGGGUUUGAGGUACGUAAAAAUGACACACCUUUUAACAGUUUUGCAUAUAGAAUGCACCCUGUAUAGAUAGUAGCCCUUGAGACUCGGUAGGUUGUCGAAAUCGACAGCGUGCCGAGGAUCAAAAUUGCAGGUUUAAAUUUCCGCCGUGCCUAUGCAGGUGGUGGGUCAUCCGGGGGCCAGCCCAACUGAUGGAGUUGCUGAACUAAAGCGGCAACUCGCCGUUGCGGAUGCGGACAUCACGCUGGUCAACAGGCGACUUGAUGAGUCGCAAGGUAAGUGUUUCUUUGCGGUCACUUGGUAAGGGAGUCGAAGCCAGCUCCUUACAACAUGUGUGUGAAAUGCAGAUAGUGCCGCUGCUGUGGAGAGCCUUCGGGCCAAACUUGCUCAAGCCAAGGAGCAGGCCAGAAGGAGUAAUGCGGCGGCCUCGAGGGCGGCCGAGGAGUUAGCGGCCGAAAGGGCCGCACACUGCCGAAGCAGGGAAGAGAUGGCCGAAAUGGCCGUGAAGUUAAAAGAUGCUACCGACCGCAAUGAGGCUCUUGGGAAGGAGUGCCUAGCGGGGUAGUAAGACCUGGGGAAGGCCACCGCCGAAGCCAAGGAUGCCCGCUCUGCAAUGCGGGCUAUAAAGGAAGAGCUGCGCCAGGCCAAAGACAUUGUAGCUGGCAAGCCUUUUCUGCUGCGCCGAAGGUUUACGGACCCAAAGUAUGCUCAGCUGGGCCAACUGUGGGGUCCAGAGGACCCUUAUAUGGACUUAGCAACGAGUGCGGCGGAUGCCGUUGUGCAUUUUCGAAGCCAGAAGGAUCACAAGACGGAAGAGUUGUUUUGGUCUCAAUUCCAUAGUCCGGAGCGUUCACUUCCGCCGACCGACCGUUUGGCCGAGUGGGCUGAGCUAAAUAGGCUGUCCGGGCUUGCCAUGACGGAUAUCGUGACCCAUAUCUGGCCGGAUAGGCCCAAGCCGAAGAGUUACUUUGGCUUAUUGCAGCAAUUUCUUGGGGCGGUGCCGCAUAUCAAGGCGAUGAAGCGGUCAGCCUGCAUAGAGGGUGUGCGGAUGGCACUCGCCCGUGUGAAGACACAUUGGACAGAGAUGGAUGCCACCGCUGUUGCGACCCCGGGUUCGGACGAUAGCCGGUUACCCGCCGAGCACUAUUUUGGCGAAGUGUUGCGUGGUGCUCGUGUAAUAGAGUCGCAGUGCUAAAAAAAUGUUACGUUCAAAUGAACGUUUUUAUGAUGUAAAACAAUAUUUAUGAUGUAAGCGCCUUUUAUACUUGUGCGUUCAAGUAAUGGAAUAUCUCCUAUGCGGCCGUUCAUGUAUACGUGUGUAUAACCUGAAAGAUGGCAGUCGUCGGCUUCAGCCCCCACGCGCAAGGUGCGGGGGUGUUCGCAAAAAAUAGCACGUUUUCACACUUAAUCCAACGUCUCGGUCCUGUAAAGGAGGUGGUAGCGUAGCAAACGAGGCAACCGGACUAUAAUGCUUUAUCACUUUCACUUAGCCAUGGAGUUCGAGGGUGGGGCUACGACAUAGCCCCUGGGGGCACCGCGCUCUCUGAAUUUGGGGCGCGUAUGUGCCUGACCGGGAAAUGGCCCUUCGUCAAAGCGGAGGAAUUCUAAACAUUCCCUUGGUCGAUCGAGUGGUUGACCAGUCUCUCGCUGUAUCUUGAUAGUCAGUUUUCGGCUUUCUCUACUGAGGUGCUCGCCCAGCCGAACUGGGGCACAAUCGCAGUAGUUCUCCUGGUGCCGCGUUAGCCGAUGAUACGGAACGUAAGGCAGCAAAACACAGGAGCCGGGCAAACCCAACAUUUGACCCAAGACAUGAUUCGGAGCUGAUGCAUAUAAGGCCUAACUCGAGACGCCGAACACUCCCGAAGGUGUUCGGUCUUUAUGAUAACGGGCAAAACAAUGCCCUAAGCCCCAUGUGUCCAGGUAUGGGCAAGUUCCUCUGGCGUGGCCGAUGCCAAAACGCCAGCCUCCACUCUGGUUAUAAUGAGAAACUAGGGGAUUAUAGCAACAAGAGACAGUAAGAAAGGUUUACGUAGGGUCUUAGUCUGAAAAGAAUCCUUGAAACGGGUCCCUACUGCACGUCUGCGCCUAUGUCUCCGUUGUGCCGUAUCUUGGAUGGGUGUGCACGUUGUUCAUCUGUAAAAAGAGAGGAACUUAGUUUUGAAAAGAAAUCAUGCAAAAAAGUACGUAAAAACUUGAAAUAUAAAUUUAGAAAGCUGAGCCUAUGAUAGCUCAUUAUAGCUUGUAUACACAAACCCUUGUGAAGGGGUGUGCGGCUAGGUAACCCCUAGCUUAUUUAUUCCGGACCCGUCUAUCCGUGUCCGGGGUCUUAGAUGACCUUUUAAUGAAAUGAUGCCGCGUGGACCGGGCAUUUUAAGCGUAAGAGACGCAUAGUGUGGUAUUGCGUUAAAGCGGAUGAAAGCUUCACGUCCCAGUAGUGCUUGAUAGCUACUUUUGAAUGGGGCGACAUGAAAGGUUAGCUUUUCUCGUCGGAAGUUGUCAGGUGACCCGAACACAACUUCUAGUAAUAAUGAACCUGUGCACCUGGCGUAAGGGCCUGGCGCCACUCCUUUGAAGGAAGUGCGGCUAUGUCUAAUUGUAGUAGGGUCUAUCCCCAACUUGCGGAUUGUGUCCGGAUAUAGCAGGUUUAAGUCACUGCCGCCGUCCAUCAGAACUUGCGUAAAUUGCAGUCCGUCUAUUAUGGGAUCCAAUAUUAGAGCAGUCCAUCCUGCAUUCCGGAUACUUCUGGAAUAAUCUAGAUGGUCGAAAGUGAUUGGUUUUGACAUCCAAUCUCGGUGUUCCGCUGGGGUGGACCAUGCGACACUUGUCUUAGCGAGUGCCGUGUUGGUUUUCCGUACUAUCACAUGAAGUGAGUUUACUGUUUUGACUUCUUGUGGGAAAGUCUUCUGACUUCCGGUGCUCUGGUGGUGGGGUUCGUCAUUGUCCUCGCUUGGUGCAUCGAGCCCCUUGUGUUCGGCGUUGAGUCUGCCGGACUGUUUAAAAACCCAACAAUUUCGGUUGGUAUGGUUUGCAGGCCUUCCGGAGGUACUGUGGAUUUGACAUAUCCGAUCCAAAAUUUUGUUUAAGUUGGAUAGCUCGUCACUAUUGUCCUUAAGAGGCAGUGUUUUAUUGUUUGGCCGCGAGCUUUUGAAUCCGGCGUUGACCGCCGUGCUCUUUGGGCUUUUUUCUUUAUUUCGGCGCUGAUCUUUCCUGCGCCGUGGUUUUCCGUUUCCAUCUCUGAUCUCGGAUGUACUCGGGUCGCUGGUGCUGCAUCUUGCUAGCCAGCUGUCUUCUCCUGCGCAAAAGCGCGUCAUGAGACUUGUUAGCGCGGCCAUUGUUCUUGGCUUCUCUUGGCCGAGGUGUCUGGCGAGCCAUUCGUCUCGGACGUUGUGUUUAAAAUCUGCUAAGGCUUCCGCGUCCGGACAGUCGACUAUUUGGUUCUUUUUGGUAAGGAACCUGUUCCAGAAUUUGCGCGCUGAUUCUCCGGGCUGUUGGGUUAUAUGACUUAGAUCGUCUGCAUCCGGAGGGCGGACAUAAGUCCCUUGAAAAUUUGCUCUAAAUGCGUCCUCAAGCUCUUCCCAACUUCCAACAGUGUUUUCUGGGAGGCUUUUGAGCCAAUGCCGAGCUGGCCCUUUGAGCUUGAGGGGUAGAUAUUUUAUGGCGUGGAGAUCAUCUCCUCUAGCCAUGUGUAUGUGUAGUAUGUAAUCUUCUAUCCAGACUCCGGAGUCUGUUGUGCCGUCGUAUGCCUCUAUGCUUAUGGGUUUGAACCCUGCUGGAAAAUCAUGAUCCAGCACCUCAUCAGUGAAACAUAGUGGGUGUGCAGCGCCCCUGUAUUUGGGUGUGCCGCUGUCUUCAAACACUUGUCGUGUUGUGUUACUUCCUGGGGCCCUCUUUUUUGGCCCAUAGAUGGACCUAGUUGGGCCGUCUAUUUUCCCAGGAUCAUAAGUCGGCUUGUGUGCGGUGCCGUUUGUCGCUUUUGGCCUGUCAUCUGGCCAUCUAUCCGGCCAGGCGACCUCUUUAUUUUUUGAUUGUGAGGGCUCUAUGGCUUCCUCGUCAAAUUCUGGCAGUAGCUUGCGCUUCGGGUAGCUCUUUGUUUGAUGGCCAUUGCCAUACUUGUCUGCGGUCUUGAGUACUUUGCUCCACUUCAUUCUGAGUAUGUCUUCCGCUGUUUUGAGCUUCCGUUUUUCCUUCUUCAAACUUCUUGCAGUGGCGACGAGCCUUUUGCGAAGGUUCUUAUGCUCCGGUGGUGUGUCCGAUGUGAGGUUGUCCGGACUGUUGGUUGCUCCGGGAAGGGGCUGAUUAUCCGGUUCGUCCUGUUCGGACGGUUGCUUGGUUGCAUGUUCGUCGUCCACUGGUUUGCCCUACUCUAUUGCUGGGUCGUUAGGAAUGCUGCUUUCAUUGAGGCGGGACUUAGGGCGGCGUCUACGUCGCCGUUUUGGUUGUUUAUCGGCGAGAUUAUCCUUUGCCGCGUCCCGUUGUUCCUCGUUAUCGCUUCCUUUUGGGGUGUCCACCAUAUAUAUGUCAUGUGACGAGGUGGCCUUCUAGUGCCCUGUAGGCGCUGGUUUUUGAUCGUCUCCGCAUCGUCGUCCAUACCGCCGAUGUCUUCGGAGUCGUAGUUUAGCACGUCGGUUAGAUCGUCGACAGUGGCUACGAAGUGGGUGGUGGGUGGGUUUUGAAUUUCUUCGUUGUCCACAUCCCAUCCAUCCUGGCCAUAGUCCGGCCAGGGCUCUCCGGAUAGCGAGAGGUGCUUCAGCAAAUUUAAGAUGUCGCCGAAGGGUGAGUGCUGAAAUAUGUCCGCAGCGGUGACCUCCAUGAUCGGCACCCAAUCGAAUUCGAUUGGCAGAGGCGCAGGAGGUUUGGAGUCCGGCAGGGAGUCCGGCACCUCGGAGUCAUGAGCUUUAUGAGGAACAAGGUCAGUGUUCGGCUCCAUCGCUGUGGAAGUUGCAGCUCCUGAGGCAGUGUCCAACCACCCGUCCUCGAUCUGCGCGAUCGGCUCCGGACUAUGGGUCAGAGCGGAUUCGUGUGCGGCCUCCAAGGUACUAUCCGGCGGCAGAGUUAGGUCGUGCCCAUCGUGACAGUGCGGCACGCUCGGCUGUGGCUCGGAUCCAUCGAAGAUCAAGUCCCCGCGGAUAUGGCCGUGAAGUUUAGGCUUCCAAACCUGACCUGACGGCCAGGCGCGUAGCUUUCGAUCUGCUCCAGAUGGCCAAGUGAGUUGGCCCGCAGUGCGAAGCCGCCGAAUACGAAGAUCUGUCCGGGGAGAAAAGUCUCACCCAGGACUGCAUCGUUGUUGAUUGAAGAGGCCAUCAAGACUAUCGGUGACGACACAGAGGAACUCUCAAUGAAAGCACCAAUGUCGGUGUCAAAACCGGCAGAUCUCGGGUAGGGGGUCCCGAACUGUGCGUCUAGGCGGAUGGUAACAGGAGACAAGGGACACGAUGUUUUACCCAGGUUCGGGCCCUCUUGAUGGAGGUAAAACCCUACGUCCUGCUUGAUUGAUAUUGAUAUUGUGGAUGUUUACAAGAGUAGAUCUACCACGAGAUCAAGGAGGCUAAACCCUAGAAGCUAGCCUAUGGUAUGAUUGGGGUUGUUGUUGUGUCCUACGGACUAAAGCCAUCCAGUUUAUAUAGACACCGGAGAGGGCUAGGGUUACAUAGAGUCGGUUACAAUGGUAGGAGAUCUACAUAUCCGUAUCGCCAAGCUUGCCUUCCACGCCAAGGAAAGUCCCAUCCGGACACGGGACGAAGUCUUCAAUCUUGUAUCUUCAUAGUCUUGGAGUCCGGUCGAUGAUGAUAGUCCGGCCGAUGAUAGUUCGGCCGAUGAUGGUAGUCUGGCUAUCCGGACACCCCCUAAUCCGGGACUCCCUCACUAACCAUAGCAUGAAACAUAUAGAUCCAAAUCAGCCCCUUACGAAGCAACGCAUAAACUAGGGUUUAAGCUUCUGUCACUCUAGCAACCCAUCAUCUAUUUAUUACUUCCCAAUGCCUUCCUCUAGGCCCAAAUAAUGGUGAAGUGUUAUGUAGUCGACGUUCACAUAACACCACUAGAGGUUAGACAACAUACAUCUUAUCAAAAUAUCGAACGAAUACCAAAUUCACAUGACUACUAAUAGCAAGACAUCUCCCUUGUCCUCAGGAACAAACGUAAUUACUCACAAAGCUUAUUCAUGUUCAUAAUCAGAGGGGUAAUAUUGUGCAUAAAGGAUCUAAACAUAUGAUCUUCCACCAAAUAAACCAACUAGCAUCAACUACAAGGAGUAAUCAACACUACUAGCAACUUACUAGCACCAAUCCCAGACUUGGAGACAAGAAUUGGAUACAAGAGAUGAACUAGGGUUUGGAGAUGAGAUGGUGCUGGUGAAGAUGUUGAUGGAGAUUGCCCUCUCCCGAUGAGAGGAGCGUUGGUGAUGACGAUGGUGAUGAUUUCCCCCUCCCGGAGGGAAGUGUCCCCGGCAGAAUAGCUCUGCCGGAGCCCUAGAUUGGUUCCGCCAAGGUUCCGCCUCGUGGCUGCGGAGUCUCAUCCCGAAAGGUUCUCUGCUAUUUUUUUCUCAUCGAAAGACUUCAUAUGGGAGAAGAUGGGCGUCGGAGAGCCACCAGGGGGCCCACGAGGUAGGGGGCGCGCCCAGGCGGCGCCCCCCACCCUCGUGAGCAGGGUGUGGGCCCCUUGGCCUUCAUCUUUGGCGAUGAUUUUUCUUUAUUUAUUCUAAGGUAUUCCGUGGAGUUUCAGGACUUUUGGAGUUGCGCAGAAUAGUCCUUCAAUAUUUGCUCCUUUUCCAGUCCAGAAUUCCAGCUGUCGGCAUUCUCCCUCUUCAUGUAAACCUUGUAAAAUAAGAGAGAAUAGCCAUAAGUAUCGUGACAUAACGUGAAAUAACAGCCCAUAAUGCAAUAAAUAUCGACAUAAAAGCAUGAUGCAAAAUGGAUGUAUCAAUCAACAUGAUCUUGCGUGUGCGUAGGAAAUUUUUGAAAUUACUACAUUCCCCAACAGUGGUAUCAGAGCCAGGUUUUAUGCGUUGAUGUUAUAUGCAUGAGUAGAACACAAGUGAGUUGUGGGCGAUACAAGUCAUACUGCUUACCAGCAUGUCAUACUUUGGUUCGGCGGUAUUGUUGGAUGAAGCGGCCCAGACCGACAUUACGCGUACGCUUACACGAGACUGGUUCUACCGAUGUGCUUUGCACACAGGUGGCUAGCGGGUGUCAGUUUCUCCAACUUUAGUUGAACCGAGUGUGGCUACGCCCGGUCCUUGAGAAGGUUAAAACAACACUAACUUGACGAACUAUCGUUGUGGUUUUUAUGCGUAGGUAAGAACGGUUCUUGCUCAGCCCGUAGCAGCCACGUAAAACUUGCAACAACAAAGUAGAGGACGUCUAACUUGUUUUUGCAGGGCAUGUUGUGAUGUGAUAUGGUCAAGACGUGAUGAUAUAUUUUGUUGUAUGAGAUGAUCAUGUUUUGUAAGCAAGUUAUCGGCAACUGGCAGGAGCCAUAUGGUUGUCGCUUUAUUGUAUGCAAUGCAAUCGCCCUAUAAUUGCUUUACUUUAUCACUAAGUGGUAGCGAUAGUCGUAGAAGCAAUAGUUGGCGAGACGACAACGAUGCUAUGAUGGAGAUCAAGGUGUCGCGCCGGUGACGAUGGUGAUCAUGACAGUGCUUCGGAGAUGGAGAUCACAAGCACAAGAUGAUGAUGGCCAUAUCAUAUCACUUAUAUUGAUUGCAUGUGAUGUUUAUCUUUUAUGCAUCUUAUCUUGCUUUGAUUGACGGUAGCAUUAUAAGAUGAUCUCUCACUAAAUUUCAAGAUAAAAGUGUUCUCCCUGAGUAUGCACCAUUGCCAAAGUUCGUCGUGCCCAGACACCACGUGAUGAUCGGGUGUGAUAAGCUCUAUGUCCAUCUACAACGGGUGCAAGCCAGUUUUGCACAUGCAGAAUACUCAGGUUAAACUUGACGAGCCUAGCAUAUGCAGAUAUGGCCUCGGAACACUGAGACCGAAAGGUCGAGCAUGAAUCAUAUAGUAGAUAUGAUCAACAUAGUUAUGUUCACCAUUGAAAACUACUCCAUUUCACGUGAUGAUCGGUUAUGGUUUAGUUGAUUCGGAUCACGUGAUCACUUAGAUGAUUAGAGAGAUGUCUAUCUAAGUGGGAGUUCUUAAGUAAUAUGAUUAAUUGAUCUUAAAUUUAUCAUGAACUUAGUCCCGAUAGUAUUUUGCAAAUUAUGUUGUAGAUCAAUAGCUCGCGUUGUUGCUUUCAUAUGUUUAUUUUGAUAUGUUCCUAGAGAAAACUGUGUUGAAAGAUGUUAGUAGCAAUGAUGCGGAUUGGAUCCGUGAUCUGAGGAUUGUCCUCAUUGCUGCACAGAAGAAUUAUGUCCUUGAUGCACCGCUAGGUGAUGGACCUAUUGCAGGAGCAUAUGUAGACGUUAUGAACGUUUGGCUACCUCAAUAUGAUGACUACUUGAUAGUUAAGUGCACCAUGAUUAACGGCUUAGAAUCGGGACUUCAAAGACGUUUUGAACGUCAUGGGCCAUAUGAGAUGUUCCAGGAGUUGAAGUUAAUAUUUCAAGCAAAUACCCGAUUUGACAGAUAUGAAGUCUCCAACAAGUUCUAUAGCUAAAAGAUGGAGGAGAAUUGCUCAACUAGUGAGCAUGUGCUCAGAUUGUCUGGGUACUACAAUCGCUUGAAUCAAGUGGGAGUUAAUCUUCCAGAUAAGAUAGUGAUUGACAGAGUUCUCUAGUCACCAUCACCAAGUUAGUAGAACUUCGUGAUGAACUAUAGUAUGCAAAGGAUGACGAAAAUGAUUCCCGAGCUCUUCACGAUGUUGAAUUCAACGAAGGUAGAAAUCAAGAAAAGAGCAUCAAGUGUUGAUGAUUGACAAGACCACUAGUUUCAAGAAAAGGGCAAAGGGAAAGAAAGCGAACUUCAAGUAGAAUGGCAAGCAAGUUGUCACUCCCACGAAGAAGCUCAAAGCUGGACCAAAGCCUGAAACUGAGUGCUUACACUUCAAAGGAAAUAGUCACUGGAAGCAGAAAUGCCCUGAAUAUUUGGUGGAUAAGAAGGAUGGCAAAGUGAACAAGGGUGUAUUUGAUAUGCAGGUUAUUGAUGUGUGCCUUACUAGUGUUUAUAGUAGCCCCUAAGUAUUUGAUACUUGUUCAGUUGCUAAGAUUAGUAACUCAAAAUAGGAGUUACAUAAUAAACAGAGACUAGUUGAGGGGAAGUGACGAUGAGUGUUGGAAAUAGUUCCAAGAUUGAUAUGAUCAUCAUCACACACUCCCUAUACUUUCGGGAUUAGUGUUAAACCUAAAUAAAUGUUAUUUGGCGUUUGCGUUGAGCAUAAAUAUGAUUUGAUCAUGUUUAUUGCAAUAUGGUUAUUCAUUUAAAGUCAGAGAAUAAUUGUUGUUCUAUUUACAUGAAUAAAACCUUCAAUGGUCAUACACCCAAUGAAAAUAGUUUGUUGGAUCUCGAUCGUAGUGAUACACAUAUUCAUAAUAUUGACGCCAAAAGAUGCAAAGUUAAUAAUGAUAGUGCAACUUAUUUGUGGCACUGCCAUUUGGGUCAUAUCAGUGUAAAGCGCAUGAAGAAACUCCAUAAAAGAUGGAUUUUCGGAAUCACUUGGUUAUGAAUCAUUUGAUGCUUGCGAACCAUGCCUUUUGGGCAAGAUGACUAAAACUCCAUUCUCCAGAACAAUGGAACGAGCUACUGACUUGUUGGAAAUAAUACAUAUUGAUGUAUGCAGACCAAUGUGUAUUAAGGCUUGUGGCGGGUAUCGUUAUUUUCUCACCUUCACAGAUGAUUUGAGCAGAUAUGGGUAUAUCUACUUGAUGAAACAUAAGUCUGAAAUAGUUAAAAGGUUCAAAGAAUUUCAGAGUGAAGUGGAAAAUCAUCAUAACAAGAAAAUAAAGUUUUUGUGAUCUGAUCGUGGAGAUGAAUAUUUGAGUUACGAGUUUGACCUUCAGUUAAAAUAAUGUGGAAUAGUUUCACAAACUCAUGCCACCUGGAACACCACAGCGUAAUGGUGUGUCCGAACGUCAUAACCACACUUUAUUGGAUAUGGUGCGAUCUAUGAUGUAUCUUACUGAUUUACCACUAUCGUUUUGGGAUUAUGCAUUAGAGACAGUUGCAUUCACUUUAAAUAGGGCACCAUCAAAAUCCGUUGAGACGACACCGUAUGAACUAUAGUUUAGCAAUAAACCUAAGCUGUCGUUUCUGAAAGUUUGGAGUUGCAAUGCUUAUGUGAAAAAGUUUCAACCUGAUAAGCUUGAACCCAAAUCGGAGAAGCGCGUCUUCAUAGAAUACCCAAAGGAAACUGCUAGGUGCACCUUCUAUCACAGAUCCGAAGGCAAGAUAUUCGUUGCUAAGAUGGAUCCUUUCUAGAGAAGGAGUUUUCUCUCGAAAGAAGUGAGUGGGAGGAAAGUAGAGCUUGAUAAGGUAAUUGUACCUUCUCCCGAAUUGGAAAGUAGUUCAUCACAGAAAUUAGUUCCAGUGAUUUCUACACCAAUUAGUGAGGAAGCCAAUGAUGAUGAUCAUGAAACUUCAGAUCAAGUUACUACAGAACCUCGUAGGUCUUCCAGAGUACGGUCCGCACCAGAGUGGUAUGGUAAUCCUAUUCUGGAAGUCAUGUUACUAGACCAUGAUAAACCUACGAACUAUGAGGAAGCGAUGAUGAGCCCAGAUUCCGUGAAAUGGCUGGAGGCCAUGAAAUCUGAGAUAGGAUCCAUGUAUGAGAACAAAGUGUGGACUUUGGUGGACUUGCCCGAUGAUUGGCAAGCCAUAGAAAAUAAAUGGAUCUUCAUUAGGAAGACGGACGUUGAUAGUCGUGUUACUAUCUACAAAGUUCGACUUGUCGCAAAAAGGUUUUCGAAAAGUUCAAGGUGUUGACUACAAUGAGAUUUUCUCAACUGUAGCGAUGCUUAGGUUUGUCCGAAUCAUGUUAGCAAUUGCCACAUUUUAUGAAAUCUGGCAAAUGGAUGUCAAAACUGCAUUCCUUAAUGGUUUUCUUAAAAAAGAGUUGUAUAUGAUGCAACUAGAAGGUUUUGUCAAUCCUAAAGGUGCUAACAAAAUGUGCAAGCUCCAGCAAUCCAUCUAUGGACUGGUGCAAGCAUCUCAGAGUUGGAAUAUACGCUUUGAUAAGUUGAUCAAAGCAUAUAGUUUUAUACGGACUUGCAGUGAAGCCUGUAUUUACAAUAAAGUGAGUGGGGGCACUACAACCUUUCUGAUAAGUAUAUGUGAGUGACAUAUUGUUGAUCAGAAAUGAUGUAGAAUUUUUCUGGAAAGGAUAAAGAAGUGUUUGAAAGGAGUUCUUUAAAAGAAAGACCUCAGUAAAGCUACUUACAUAUUGAGCAUCAAGAUCUAUUGAGAUAGAUCAAGACGCUUGAUAAGAUUUUCAACGAGUACAUACCUUGAUAAUAUUUUGAAGUAGUUCAAAAUGGAACAAUGAAAGAAAGACUUCUUGCCUGUGCUGCAAAGGUGUGAAAUUGAGUAAGACUCAAAUCCCGACCACGGCAGAAAAUAGAAAGAGAAUGAAAGUCAUUCCCUAUGCUUCAGUCAUAGGUUCUAUAAAAGUAUGCCAUGCUAUGGACCAGACCUAUUGUAUACUAUACCCUGGUUUGGCAAGGGAGUACAAUAGUGAUCUAAGAGUAGAUCGCUGGACAUUGGUCAAAAUUAUCCUUAGUGGAAUAAGGAUAUGUUUCUCGAUUAUGGAGGUGACAAGAGGUUCGUCGUAAAGGGUUACGUCGAUGCAAGUUUUUGACACUGAUCCAGAUGACUCUAAGUCUCAAUCUGGAUACAUAUUGAAAGUGGGAGCAAUUAGCUAGAGUAGCUCCGUACAGAGCAUUGUAGACAUAGAAUAUUUUGCAAAAUACAUACAUCUCUGAAUGUGACAGACCCGUUGACUAAACUUCUCUCACGAGCAAAACAUGAUCACACCUUAGUACUCUUUGGGUGUUAAUCACAUAGCGAUGUGAACUAGAUUAUUGACUCUAGUAAACCCUUUGGGUGUUGGUCACAUGACGAUGUGAACUAUGGAUGUUAAUCAUAUACAGAUAUGAAUAUUGGUGUUAAAUCACAUGGCGAUGUGAACUAGAUUAUUGACUCUAGUGCAAGUGGGAGACUGAAGGAAAUAUGCCCUAGAGGCAAUAAUAAAGUUAUUAUUUAUUUCCUUAUUUCAUGAUAAAUGUUUAUUAUUCAUGCUAGAAUUGUAUUAACCGAAAACAUAAUACAGGUGUGAAUACAUAGACAAACAUAGUGUCACUAGUAUGCCUCUACUUGAUUAGCUCGUUAAUCAAAGAUGGUUAAGUUUCCUAACCAUAGACAUGAGUUGUCAUUUGAUUAACGGGAUCACAUCAUUAGGAGAAUGAUGUGAUUGACUUGACACAUUCCAUUAGCUUAGCACUUGUUCGUUUAGUAUGUUGCUAUUGCUUUCUUCAUGACUUAUACAUGUUCCUAUGACUAUGAGAUUAUGUAACUCCCGUUUACCAGAGGAACACUUUGUGUGCUACCAAACAUCACAACAUAACUGGGUGAUUAUAAAGGUGCUCUACAGGUGUCUCCAAAGGUACUUGUUGAGUUGACGUAUUUCGAGAUUAGGAUUUGUCACUCCGGUUGUCGGAGAGGUAUCUCUGGGCCCUCUCGGUAAUGCACAUCACUAUAAGCCUUGCAAGCAAUGUAGCUAAUGAGUUAGUUACAAGAUGAUGCAUUACGUACGAGUAAAGAGACUUGCCGGAAAUGAGAUUGAACUAGGUAUUUGUAAGUGCAUCUAGUGCCACCCCUAGUUGGUUUUGGAGUAUUGACGACAAAUUUGGUUGAGGGACUAAUGUGUUUGUGAGAGUUGCAGGAUAACGCAGGUAGUGUCCCUCAUUGAUUUAGUUUACCUACCAGAGAUGACCCCUAAAAAUGUAUGAAGACAUUGACGACAAUGGUGGUAUGUGAAGAUAUUCAUUUCGAAGACUAUGACAUGAGAAGACAUUGAGUGAAGACUAUGGAGCGCGAAGACUGUGUCGUUUCGUUGUUUCAUUUUCUUCUUUGUUUAGUCAUAGGAACCACCGUACUGUUAAGUGGGGUCCAAGUGAACAAAGUCAGAAUGACUGAAGUGAUGCUCAACCCAAAUCCUAUGUCUUCGAGCGAAGACAAUGAGAGCAAAUCUUAUCCAGAGCUGGAUGAGUUAGCUUUGCUUGUAGCCCAAGUAAAGUUGCCCUAUGUGUUUGAAAUCUGACCGUUGGAACACGUGUCAGUUCCUUAGUGACCCAGGGUCAUUUUGGACAUAUCAGGUCGGGUUGCCUUGUGGCUAUAAAUAGCCCACCCCCUACACCAUAAAUUGGUGGCUGCUCAGAGUUAGUACACGGCUUUUGUCGUUUGAGAGCAACCCACCUUGAAGCCUUUGAGAGAGAGAAAUCCUUGCGAGGACAAAGCCCAAACACCCAGAGCCAAAGAGUGUUAGGCAUCACUGAAGUCUUUCUGCCUGUGUGACCUGAAGACUUAUUACACUUGAGGACCGUGAAUCCUCCAGCCGGUUAGGCGUCGCGUUCUGAGCAUCCAAGAGUCAUUGUGGAUCGCCGGUGAACGAAGUCUGUGAAGGUUUGGAAGUCUACCUUGAAGACUUACCAGAGUGAUUGGGCGAGGACUGUGUGUCCUUAGCUCAAGGGGAAUAAGGUGAAUACGCGGUCUUCUGAGUUGAAUCUCAGCCUCCCUAACCAGACGUACAGUUGUCACAGCAACUGGAACUGGUCCAACAAAUCCUGUGUCUUCAACAAGUGACUGGUUCUAUCCUCUCCUUCCCUUUACUUAGUGUUUGUCUUCAUGAAGUGAUUGCCUAUUUGUCGUACCUGUUUGACUUCAUUGCUUGACUACUAUCGUUGGUUGGCUUCAUACUAUCUUCCAUCCUGAUCCUUACUACCAAGCUGCUAUUAGUCUUUGUACUUUCACAUUAUUGCAUACUUGACUAUGGUUUGCUUGUUGUAGUUUAUCUUCCGCUGCAUAUCAAUUAGGUCAUUUCUAUUGCUUGUCUUCGAAACUUCCACGUUUUGAAUACUUUCAUAAAAAUCGCCUAUUCACCCCCCCUCUAGUCGAUAACUAGCACUUUCAAUUGGUAUCAGAGCAAGGUACUCCCUUGUUCUGUGUGAUUCGGUUUAACCACCUGGAGUUUUAGCUAUGUCGACUGCAGGAUUGAGGAACGUAUCUUGCCCCACCUUUGACGGUCAUGAGUAUCCUCGGUGGAAGGCCAUGAUGAAGAAGCGACUCAUGGCUAUGGACAGCGAACUGUGGACCGUCACUGAGAUUGGUCUUACCGAUCUAUGCAAGAUGGCGGAGGCUGAUGACAUUCGCAAGUACACUCUACUGAACCUCACGGCGAAGGAUGUCAUCUGCUCCUGUCUGUCCGGAAAUCAGUUCAGGAAUGUCAUGCACCUCAAUCACGCGAAGCUAAUCUGGGACCGACUUUCUGAGGUCUAUGAAGGUCAUCGUACUCGUCAUGAUCCUUGGUUUGAGGAUUACAAGGAGUCUCUCAAAGAGAUGACCUUUGCACCUGAAUCGUCAUCAUCUUCACCAUGCCUCAUGGCAGGGGGUGCUAAGGUAACUGAAUGCUACCUUUCUGAAUCUAGUGAUGAUGAAUCAGGUGAUGAAUUUGGCCCCAGCUAUGUCAAACUUGCUUCCCUUGCCACUAAACAACAAAGAGCCUUGGAAAAGGUUCAAUACAUGCUUAGUAAGAGCGAUGAUAUGUUGGGUGAAGAAAUGGAUCAGUCAAAAGCAUUGGCUGAGAGUCUUCGGAGACUUCAUUCCAAGUUUGACGCCCUUCAAGAUCAACAUAAUAAUCUCUGGUCUGAUCACGAGAAGCUUUCUUCUGAAUGUAUUCAAAGAAAGCAAGAUCUUGAAAAGCUAAGAGUGGAUUAUGAAGAUCUUCAGAAGGAGCGCGAUUCAUUACUUGCUCAACAAAUCAGCGUUACACAGGAAGAAUUUGUUCCUCCAUGUCUGAAAUGCAUUGAACAUGAAACUACUAAUUCUUCACCUGAAUGUUCAAAUGCUUCUAAUGCUACAAAUUCUUCAUAUGUCUCCGCUGUCACUAAUUCCUCAUCUGAGGACAAUGCAAGUAUCACUGAUGAUGCAGAGCUGAAGGAAUUGUACAUGACAGGCAUGUACAAAAGCCUCAAGGGGCAUCAGACACUAUGUGAUAUCCUCAAAAAGCAGAUUCUGAACCGAAACCCUAGGAAAGAGGGUGUUGGGUUCGAGAGGAAAAUGAAUGUUGAUGGUUCCUACUGGAAGCCUGAGCAGUAUCCCAAAACCACAUGGGUUGCUGCAAAGGGACCUUCAGUGGAUCCAUCCACCUUAUCUGGCUUUACCUGUGCUAAUCCUAUUAUCAUUGAUGAAUCCCUUGAUGCAACUAUAAGUUGUUCAAGAAUCAGAAUGGUGAAGUGUUUGCCAGGUAUAUUGGUACUAACUGCAGGAAUGGACCACCUAUGAAGAAGAUCUGGGUUCCCAAAAGCUGUCUUGAGAAUCUUCCAGUGAAUUUGAUCAUGACACCACAUGGGAAGAAGACAAACCCCAGACCUAAGGCGUCAUAUGGUCCAAAGGCUUCAUACAGACAGAGGACUCACCUGAGUCACCCUAACGCCAAUGUUUUGUAGGGAAACCGUACUCAAACUUAUGAAUAUGAGCGUGUGUCUUCAAACCGCUAUGUUCAUAGAACUAAGAACUUUUCUGCUUAUUCAUAUGAGUAUCAUUCAUCUCCUGCAAGGCUAUUUGCUAGGGCUCCAAAGCCGAAGUUCUCAGAUGCUGCACUUAGACUCAUUGCUUCUAAGCCACCCCUGAAGAUGUGGGUGGUUAAUAAGAAUUAACUCUCUUUUGCAGGGAAGGGUCUCCAGCCGAAAAUCAAAGGCGUCUGAUGCUAUUGCUGGGGACCUAAAACAUCUUGUAGGGCGCAAGAUCAAAUGCCCAAAAUGGUCUCACUAUGUAUUUUGUUCCUGGAUUGUUUUCCAUUCAUCCUAUCGGUUCUAAUCUUGAUCUGAGAUUCAAUAAUCCUUUUGCCCGUCAAAUGUUUAUGCUUCACAAUACUCUUGGUGAAGCCUAUCCCCAUAUGACUGGUGAUCGAAGUCUUCUCAUGGAAUCAACCUUACGUCCAUCAGACAAGAGUCACAUCACCUUUGCUGACACUGGUAAAAGCAAGGUAUUGGGUCUAGGUAGAGUUGCAAUCUCAAAGGAUCAACACAUGGAUAAAGUGAUGCUUGUUGAAUCCCUUGGUUUCAACUUAAUGUCUGUAUCGAUGCUUUGUGACUUGAACAUGAUUGUGCUAUUCAGAAAAUAUCGUUGCCUUGUACUAAUGGAAUCUGACAAGUCUCUAGUCUUUGAAGGGUAUCAGAAAGAUGAUCUAUACAUGGUAGAUUUCUCAGCAGGUCCACAGCUUGCCGUAUGUCUUCUUGCAAAAGCUUCAGAAUGCUGGCUCUGGCAUCGGAGACUGGGGCAUGCUGGCAUGAGGAACUUACACACACUAGCCAAGAAGAAGCAUGUCAUAGGCAUCGAGGGUGUCAAGUUCAAGAAGGAUCAUUUGUGUGGUGCCUACAAAGCUGGAAAGAUGACUCGGGCAAAGCACCCCUCGAAGACAAUCAUGACGACAUCUCAACCCUUCGAGCUGUUACACAUGGACUUAUGUGGCCCUACUCACUACUCUACCCUCACAAGAACUGCUUGUCUCUAUGGCUUCGUCAUUGUUGAUGACUACUCAAGAUACACAUGGGUGCACAUAAUUCUCUACAAGACUGAAGUGCAAGAUGUCUUCAGACGCUUCGCCAAUCGAGCCAUGAACAAUUAUGGCGUCAAGAUCAAGCAUAUCAGAAGUGAAAACGGCACUGAGUUCAAGAACACCGGACUUGAUCUUUAUCUGGAUACAAUGAGAAUCACUCAUGAGUUCUCUGCUCCAUACACACCUUAGCAAAAUGGCAUCGUAGAGCGCAAGAACAGAACCCUCAUUGAGAUGGCUCGAACAAUGCUCGACGAGUACAAGACACCAAGAAAGUUCUGGCCUGAAGCUAUUGAUACAGCAUGUCACGUCAUCAACCGUGUUUACAUCCAUAAGCUUCUAAACAAAACAUCCUAUGAGCUCCUUACUGGCAAGAAGCCAAAUGUCAGCUACUUCAGAGUAUUUGGAGCUAGGUGCUGGAUCAAGGAUCCCCAUCACAAGUCAAAAUUUGCACCUAAAGCUCACAAAGGCUUCAUGCUUGGUUACGGAAAGGACUCGCACUCUUACAGAGUCUUCAACCUCUAUCUCUACAAAAUCGUCAAAACUGUAGACGUGUGAUUUGAUGAAACCAAUGGUUCACAAAGAGAGCUCCUGCCAAGUACACUAGACGAAGCUCCGCCCAGCGAAUCUAUCAAGCUGAUGGGAACUGGUGAAAUCAUGCCUUCUGAAGCACAGCCUGAAGAGGAACUUAUCAUUUCUGCACCUAACCAACCCGAAGACAAUGCUCAGACUGAAGACAAUCCUCCCAAUGAUGACAAUGAUCAGCAAGAUGAGCAACGUCUUCGUCCAGUUCAUCCUCGAGUUGCAAAUGAAGUACAAAUUGAGAAGAUAAUCGAUAGCAUCAAUGUGCCUGGUCCACUUACUCGCUCAAGAGCAACACAGUUAGCAAAUUUCUGUGGGCACUUUUCUUUUGUGUCAAUAUCAGAACCCAAGAAAGUUGCUGAAGCCUUUAUGGAACCUAAAUGGAUACAAGCUAUGCAAGAAGAACUUCAACAGUUCAAGCUGAACAAUGUUUGGGAACUAGUCAAGCGUCCUGACCCUCGCAAGCAUAACAUUAUUGGCACAAAAUGGAUAUAUCGAAACAAGCAAGAUGAGCAUGGUCAAGUCAUCAGAAAACAAAGCAUGUCUUGUGGCUCAAGGAUAUACUCAAGUUGAAGGAAUUGACUUCGAUGAAACAUUUGCUCCUGUGGCUAGGCUUGAAGCUAUUCGCAUACUGCUAGCCUAUGCUAACCACCAUAACAUCUUGCUAUAUCAAAUGGAUGUGAAGAGUGCAUUUCUUAAUGGUAAGAUUGAAGAAGAAGUGUACGUUGCUCAACCACCUGGCUUUGAAGAUCCAAAACAUCCUGAUAUGGUGUACAAGCUAAACAAAGCACUGUAUGGCCUCAAACAAGCUCCUCGCGCUUGGUAUGAUAUGAUCAAAGACUUCCUGAAGAGCAAAGGCUUCAAACCUGGAUCCCUCGAUCCCACACUCUUCACGAAGACAUAUGAUGGUGAACUGUUUGUGUGCCAAAUAUAUGUGGAUGACAUUAUCUUCGGCUGCACCAACCAGAAGUAUAGUGAUGAGUUUGGAUACAUGAUGCAAGAGCAAUAUCAGAUGUCCAUGAUGGGUGAGCUGAAGUUCUUCCUUGGUCUUCAAAUUCGUCAGCAAAGGAAUGGCAUCUUCAUAUCUCAAGAAAAAUACCUCAAAGAUUGUCUGAAGAAGUUUGGAAUGCAAGAUUGCAAAGGUUACACGACGCCAAUGCCAGCCAAACACCAUAUGGGUCCCGACGACAAUGGUAAAGAGUUCGAUCAAAAGGUAUACUGCUCCAUGAUUGGUUCCUUACUUUACCUAUGUGCAUCUAGGCCAGAUAUUAUGCUUAGUGUUUGCAUGUGUGCUCGAUUCCAAGCGGCACCAAAGGAAUCGCAUCACUUAACUGUGAAGCGAAUUCUUCGAUAUUUGGCUUACACCCCAACACUCGGAUUAUGGUAUCCAAAGGGCUCAAAAUUUGAUCUGGUUGGAUUCUCGGAUGCUGAUUAUGCUGGUGACAAGGUGGAUCGCAAGUCUACAUCAGGCACAUGUCACUUUCUGGGACGAUCACUCGUCUGUUGGUCUUCAAAGAAGUAGAACUGUGUAUCACUAUCAACUGCUGAAUCUGAAUACAUUGCUGCUGGAUCUUGCUGCGCUCAGCUUCUAUGGAUGAAGCAAACUCUCAAGGACUAUGGCAUCAAUCUGAAACAAGUAUCUCUCUUCUGCGACAAUGAAAGCGCCAUCAAGAUUGCCAACAAUCCAGUCCAGCACUCGAAGACAAAGCACAUUGAAAUUCGUCAUCACUUUCUCAGAGAUCAUGUCAUGAAGAAAGAUAUUGACAUCAUUCACGUCAACACUGAAGAGCAACUGGAAGAUAUCUUCACAAAGCCCUUGGAUGAGAAAAGGUUUUGCAAGUUACGGUGUGAGCUGAAUAUCUUGGAAUCCUCAAAUGUCAUGUGACCAGGCACACAUCCUAACACUUAUGCAUGUUGAUGACUUAGAUGUGCAACACAUGAAGUAAAGUAUAUCUUCAAGCAAUGAAGACUUACAUUCUGAGUGUGAAUACAUUAACGUGGAAUUUGACUUUGGAGCGCCACGAUAAUUGUGUGCCGUGUCUGGGUCUAAUACUUCCUAUACAGUGGGUAACGCCACCACCAAAUUUCUCGGUUUGAAGUGUUUCACUCAUGGCGUUAUUUUUGCAAUGUCUUCGCAUUUGGUUUGUCUUAAAUUUCAACUUAUCUUCAUAAUUUUCUUCACUAUGAUUUGAUUGCUUUUUGAUAUAUAUACUAGUGUUCUGUCCUCUACAGCAUUCACUUAUAGCUAUGUCUUCCUAGUUGAAUCUUUUGAACUAAGUGAAUGUGAUCGGACCCUAAUCUCUCUAUGCUUUCUAUCUCAAACACUAUCUGUCCAAAUCAUAUGCAUUCUAUUGAAACUGUCGAAUGUCUUCUCUACGUCCUUGUCAGCAGAAGACACAGAGACAAACAUUAAGUCUGUUUUAAAUGAUUCAUCCUUAUUGUUUGAAAUCCGGAGAAGCCGGAACAACCAUCUGACAAACCUUGCGGGCAUGGGAACGUGGGACAACUCUGAGUAUGUUGCAUGCUUGCCACGUGCCCCUCAGAUGUGAACCGCCAGGGGCACCUGCGUAAUUGCGCUUUGCUGCACACUUCCUUAUAAAUACAUGUCCCCUGCGGUAAAGAAAACCUUCUUCCACCUCUCCACCUCGUCAAAACCCUAGCGCCACCGCUAGCUCUCGACGACGCCGGCGACAAAGCGCUUAGCUGCCACGACUUCUCCGACGCCGUCCUCACGCCGGCCGCGGACAUCGUCCUCUCCGCCGCCACCGUAGGUGUCCUCCGUCGCCAAGUUAGGGCACGGUGGAUUGAACUACUCGGUCUCCCAUUCAUCCCAUCUAGCAGUUCUUCGUGUGGUAAAUACAACUCUAUUUUUACCAUCUUUUUUAUCCUCAAAGAUUCAUCCUAUUUACCAAAAUUGGUUUCUGCCUAUACAAUGUUAGAUCUAUUCUGUCUGCAUCUCAUACUGCCUAGUAUAUUCACUUAAGCUUCAUAUCUAGUUAGAUUCCUCACUUGUACUUAUUCACGGAUUCGUACAAAUCUGGAACCAACUCUCAACAUAUAAGUGAAUGUCUUCGCAUCAUGAGGUCAAUGUCUUCAAACUGAUUUAUCUUCAAAAUCUUCUGAGAAUGCAUAUGACCUCUUCCCCUUCCCUCGCAUCUCUAAUGCUGUCACAGGUACAUGUCCAUGGGAGAAUCCCUUGGUUCUCAUAGUCUGCAUUCGUUUGCAGAAUUCUUACAACAUCACAUUAACUCUCCCGAAGCCAGUUCCUAUUUGUCCAGCAAGCGAAAGCCCUUGAAGCCUUUGAACGUGUUGAAGCCAUUCAGUUUGAAGUUCAUGGCUGCAGAGAAAUCAGUAAGGAAGGGUGGCAGACAGCGUCGUGGGGGAACAUCAAAAGAUUUGCCUGAUGACCUCACAGAGCUUUACAAGACAGAUCCUGAAGAGAAUUAUAAUCAGCGCAAGACACGAAUCCAAUGGAUUCGACAAUAUUGGGUUGAACAAUGGUUCAAAUACAAGUUUGUGACCCAGGAAUACGCUGAGAAGAAUGCUAUCAAAAGUCCUUGGGGAGAUAUUCUCUAUCGAGGCCUUCCACCCAAGAACAGAGCUGAAGCUAUUGCACAGGGUUUCUAUCCUUGUAUGGUCCGUGGACCUCAGCCUGAAAAUGCCAACCCAUCAUCAUUACUCUGGUGUUGUGAUGAUAAUCUCUUCAAGCGCAACUUCUGGCACGCAAAGGCAUCGGCCAAGGAAAACAAGAAGUCAUUGGGAUUAGACUUCAACCCUGGUCCCUCUGCUCCCCGUGCUGACGGCUCACGUGAUGCAGAACCCAAUGUCAUCGGCCCUUUCUACAACCUUGAUGGCCUCAUCACUCACAUCUCGGUCCAAGGUGCCAAAGUGGAUCAUUCUGAUGAUGAUGCUGACACUGAUGAAGCCCCAGCUCCUACUCCAAAGCCGCAGAAGCCAAAAAAAGGCUAAGGCUUCCAGAUCAGCUGCUUCUCCAAAAGCUUCACGUGCGAAGCCACUGGCCACUGCACCUCCUGAAGACAGUGUGCAGUCUGAAGAUCUAUCACGUAUCUCCAAGAAGACGGAGAAGAAAAAGAAAAUCGUCAAGAAUACUGAUCAGACAUUGACUCCUGCCGCCAUUCUACGAGAAGAGCACAUUGAUCUGUCCAACGAUGAAGAUCUUGCAGAUGAUGCUCUUGAGCAACUGAUCAAGAGUAAGGAAGAAGCAGAGAUCUUCAAUGAUUUGCCUCUCUUUGAUGUGGCAAUCAUCCAUAACUUCAUUGAUGAGUGGUUUGACACCCCAAAUCUCAACUUUGAAGAUCUGCAACUUCCCAUUGGCCUCAGCGUCUCCUUCAAUGGUGCCAUUGCUUCUGAGCUAGCUCUUGCUCAGCGCAUCGUUGAACUGAAGCACAAGAUCGACUAUGAGAAAGCUCAGUUCAAGAAGCAUGUGGCAAAGCUCAGCGUGCAAGAUGUCAAAAACUUCAAGAUCAUGCUGCACGAGCUCAAAGAAGCCUUUCUCAAGAAGCGCGAAGAAGCUAAAGGCUCUCGUGAGCGUAUGAAGAGUCUGGCUGACAAGUGUGUGCUAGCCUACAAUGAGGCUGAGAAGCGCAAGGCUCUUGGUUGUCCUGGCAUUGACCCCAGAAUGGCUGCAAAAAGGAAGAAGCUAUCAACUGACCAAUCUGCACCUUCAAGGCAGGAAGAACGUCGCAUAGUCUUCCCAAGCAGCAUGACUGGCUCGAAGCCAAAGGUCAGGUCAACCGCUUCAGAACUAAAGAAGACGCAGACUGCCGAGGCUAAAGCCAGAAAAAGGAAAAAUUCUGAAGCCUCUGAUGUUGCUCCCUCCAAGAAGAAGCGCAAAACCAAGAAGAAUCGGGCUGCUCCCACAGAGCCCUUAGUUGUUGAACCUAUCUCAAUGGUUCGCCCUGCAUCUGAACACCAAGAACGACGAAUGAUAGUUCAUGAGCCUGCUUCCACAGAGGCUCAUGAAGCUGAGGACAUUCCAGCAGUUGAUCCCACCGCUGCUGAAGACAUUGGUCACAAUGACAGUGUUGAAGAUGAUGUAGUUCUUCCUCAGAUUGAACACAACUUGGUAUCAUCGCAUGUUCUCAAGAACAGCGAACUCAUCAGCAUUGGUCGUCCUUUGACGCCAAUUGCUCAGGAUGCAUCAUGGGCUGAUCGCCCACAACAACAAGACUCCCCGAGUACUCCCCAACAACAACAAGUCACACCACCUGUGCAAAAAGAAGAGGAUGAGGCCCAACCAACUCCAUCUCCAAAGGCGUCGCCAGAAUUAUGCAGGCUUCGCAAAGGACCAAGGCCUCAAGUCCCUCUUUCGAGUGUUCCAGAAGGAGAAGUGCACCACCAAUCUGUUGCACGUCAAGUGUUUCCAGAAGCCACUCCGACUGUGAAUGUCUCCAUGUCUGACGCCCAAGCUGCUGAAGACAAUCUGGCUGCAUCAGCCGAUGACAAACAAGAAGAAGAACGUGUCCCUACUCCCCCCAUUACUGAAGAAGCUGUUCCUGAAGUGAACGUGCCAGUGCCCGACCCUCCAGCUCAUCAAGUGGAGGUUGAAAAUCUUGAGGCUGCCACCACCAACACAAAUGAAGCCAAUGACGUAGUCAUGGCUGACGCAUAUGUGGAGCCUGCACCAACCAAUGUGCCAGAAGCCAAUGAUGCAACUGCUCCUGAAGCAUCUGUUGUGCAGCCUGAAGCCUCUGUUGUUGCCACUGCUCCUGUUCCAUCACCAAGGCCCCAUAAAAUUGAGCAAGCAUACAACCAGGGGCAGCUAAUCACUGUCAAAUGGCCCAUUCUGGUCCCUCCGCCUAAUGCCUCUGGUCCUCAGUUUGAUUAUCAUGUUGAGCAUAGGUCUCUGGUCCAGAAACCAAAGCCAAGACUGCCAAGGUUCCCAGGUACUGCCACCUCUACAGGGUCCUUCAAUGCAAAUGGCUUCAAAAGCCAUAACACCUUCUUUGACAGAGCAAAGAACCCCUACUCAAGGCCAAGUAUAUCAUCUGAUCGUUUCUGGAGCUAUCAGCAACGAAGCUAUUACUCAUGCGUUCUGUAUGAUCAAGGGCGCAUUUUCCCUCAUAUGCGCCUCGACACUGAAGCCAUUGCUGGACUGCCAUGCUUAGAAGAAGCACUUAACUGCUUUCAUGAUGCAGGUCUGCUCAGCUUUGUGACAGACAAAGAACAUUGGAAUGAGGAACUUUUGCUUCAAUUCUAUGCUACCCUCCACAUUCGCGGCUACUACAGGGAUACAAAGACAUGGGUUCUCGAGUGGAUGACAGGAAAUGUCCAUCAUGAAGCCAAAGCUCUUGAUGUCAUUGAGCUUACAGGCCUACCCACUCCCAGAGAGCUGUUCGAACCUGAUUGUCAACUCCACCACAAUGCACUAGAGAGCAUCUUCCAUAAGCCAGACCCCAACAUGAGCCAGAUGUUGAGCAUGAUGAAGCCUCUGCCACCUGACGCUGAAUACCCAAAGGAGUUCUUUGUUGAUGACCUUGAGUAUCUGCCUCGCACAAUAUAUCAUAUCAUCAGGCGAACUCUAUGGCCUAUCAAAGGGCAUUCAUCAGCUGCAAACCUUGAAGGAGCCAUGAAGACAUUGGUCUUUUACAUCCUCAAUGGCAUCAGCUUCAAUACACAAGAAUUCUUCAUCUGGCAACUGGCUGCGUCUGGAUCUGACCUUUUUGGCCUGAAAUUCUAUGCUCCAUGGGUCAUGCGCCUCAUCAAGCUACACUCUACUAUCAACUAUCAGCCCUUUGCUCGCAAUCAUCUGAUCUUUCUACCAGAGGUUGAUAUGUCAAUUGAAGCCAUAUACCCUGAGCCUGCCAAGAAGCCUCUUUGUCUUCAAAAUGCUGAUCACCAAAGCUUCACUCAGCCCAUGGAAGGAGUCCAAGCAGUAACUCGUGUCUAUCCAAUGGCUGGGAACACUCGUCUGCUUCACCGUGUGCAAACUGAAGCUACUGAGAGCACAAUUGCCCAAAGGCCAAAGAAGCGCUCUCGCAUCCUAAAUGACCGAGAACUUCUUGUGGCCCUGCAUCAGAAACAAGACAAGCAUCACCUUUGGCUCAAGCGACAGAUGCAAAGCCUCUUGGUGGACGUCAAUCGCAUUCGAAAUCUUGCCACCAAGAAUGCUUUUGUCACUCACGAGACCUGUCGGCGAUCAUGGAAGAGUUUGACGCUGCUUAGUGCUGAAGCAGAUCUUCAAGAUGAUGGCUUCACUGAAAGAUUCAAGUUUGACUCCACUCCUCCACAGAAUGCUGUCCUACGUCAAACUCCAUCCCUUGAAGACUCUGACUAUUCUUCCUCCGUGGCAACUGUGAAUGCCAAAGUGAUCGAUGAUGAAGACGAUGCUACUUCACCGCCCCCUACUUCUGCACGCAUCGACACUACACCAAGUUCGUCUGCGCCGCCAAACAACAACGACAACCCUGCUGCUUCACCUACUCCUCAUGGGAACGAGUAGAUGCUCUAUGUCUUCAAACCUUUUUGGUCAUUACUGACAAAAGGUGGAGAAGCAUAUGAGUUUGAUAGUCUUCAAGCGGGUUCAUAUGGGCGGUUGCUUUAUAUUUUGCCUAGUGUUUACAACUCUUGCUUUUGAUACAUUUGGUUCUUUGAGUUGUAACACUUAAACUCGAUAGUCGUCUGCUACUUAUUUGCUUUUCUGUGAUGUGAUGAUAAAUUCCGCAUGUGCGAUGAUAACUUCCGCACUUAGAUCAUUCUGCAGACGUCCAUUUUUCAUUAUGCAUGUCAUUCUCUAAGUUAUAUCAUUUCAUGCAUGAUGAAUUAUCUUCAUAAGUUGAAGAGGAUCUCCAUAAGUACAACCUGCCAUGUGCAUUUGCAUUCCAAAAGCAAAUUACUUAUAUGCACAUCUUCAGGGGGAGCCUUUGCCACUUAUGAAGACAAUACCCUAUCCUUUACAAUUUCACAUACUUUAUCCCCGUUGAGAACUUCAACCAGUUUGUCAUCAAUCACCAAAAAGGGGGAGAUUGUAAGUGCAUCUAGUGCCACCCCUAGUUGGUUUUGGAGUAUUGACGACAAAUUUGGUUGAGGGACUAAUGCGUUUGUGAGAAUUGCAGGAUAACGCAGGUAGUGUCCCUCAUUGAUUCAGUUUACCUACCGGAGAUGACCCUAAAAAUGUAUGAAGACAUUGACGACAAUGGUGGUAUGUGAAGAUAUUCAUUUCGAAGACUAUGACAUGAGAAGACAUUGAGUGAAGACUAUGGAGCGCGAAGACUGUGUCGUUUCGUUGUUUCCUUUUCUUCUUUGUUGAGUCAUAGGAACCACCGUACUGUUAAGUGGGGUCCAAGUGAACAAAGUCAGAAUGACUGAAGUGAUGCUCAACCCAAAUCCUAUGUCUUCGAGCGAAGACAAUGAGAGCAAAUCUUAUCCAGAGCUGGAUGAGUCAGCUUUGCUUGUAGCCCAAGUAAAGUUGCCCUGUGUGUUUGAAAUCUGACCGUUGGAACACGUGUCAGUUCCUUAGUGACCCAGGGUCAUUUUGGACAUAUCAGGUCGGGUUGCCUUGUGGCUAUAAAUAGCCCACCCCCUACACCAUAAAUUGGUGGCUGCUCAGAGUUAGUACACGGCUUUUGUCGUUUGAGAGCAACCCACCUCGAAGCCUUUGAGAGAGAGAAAUCCUUGCGAGGACAAAGCCCAAACACCCAGAGCCAAAGAGUGUUAGGCAUCACUGAAGUCUUUCUGUCUGCGUGACCUGAAGACUUAUUACACUUGAGGACUGUGAAUCCUCCAGCCGGUUAGGCGUCGCGUUCUGAGCAUCCAAGAGUCAUUGUGGAUCGCCGGUGAACGAAGUCAAGGUUCGGAAGUCUACCUUGAAGACUUACCAGAGUGAUUGGGCGAGGAUUGUGUGUCCUUAGCUCAAGGGGAAUAAGGUGAAGACGCGGUCUUCUGAGUUGAAUCUCAGCCUCCCUAACCAGAUGUACAGUUGUCACAGCAACUAGAACUGGUCCAACAAAUCCUGUGUCUUCAACAAGUGACUGGUUCUAUCCUCUCCUUCCCUUUACUUAGUGUUUGUCUUCGUGAAGUCAUUGCCUAUUUGUCGUACCUGUUUGACUUCAUUGCUUGACUACUAUCGUUGGUUGGCUUCAUACUAUCUUCCAUCCUGAUCCUUACUACCAAGCUGCUAUUAGUCUUUGUACUUUCACAUUAUUGCAUAAUUGACUAUGGUUUGCUUGUUGUAGUUUAUCUUCCGCUGCAUAUCAAUUAGGUCAUUUCUAUUGCUUGUCUUUGAAACUUCCACGUUUUGAAGACUUUCAUAAAAAUUGCCUAUUCACCCCCCCUCUAGUCGAUAACUAGCACUUUCAGUAUUGGAUACCGACGAUCGAAUCUCAGGCAAGUAACAUACCGAUGACAAAGGGAACAACGUAUGUUGUUAUGCGGUUUGACCGAUAAAGAUCUUCGUAGAAUAUGUAGGAGCCAAUAUGAGCAUCCAGGUUCCGCUAUUGGUUAUUGGCCGAAAACGAGUCUCGGUCAUGUCUACAUAGUUCUCGAACCCGUAGGGUCCGCACGCUUAAGGUUUCGUUGACAGUUUUAUUAUGAGUUUAUAAGUUUUGAUGUACCGAAAGUUGUUCGGAGUCCCGGAUAUGAUCACGGACUUGACGAGGAGUCUCGAAAUGGUCGAUACAUAAAGAUCGAUAUAUUGGACGACUAUAUUUGGACACCGAAAAGGUUCCGGGUGAGAUUGGGACAAUACCGGAGCUCCGGGAGGUUAUCGGAACCCUCCGGGAGGUAUAUGGGCCUUAUUGGGCCUUAGUGGAAAGGAGGGAGAAGGAGCAAAGGAGGGGGCGCCCCCCCAAGCCCAAUCCGAAUUGGGAGGGGGGGGGCGCCCCCCUUUCCUUCUUCCCUCCCACCUCUUCCUUCCCUCUCCCUCUCCUAAUAGGAAAGGGGGACUCCUACUCCCGGUUGGGGUUGGACUCCCCCCUAGGGCACGCCACCCUCCCUUGGUCGGCCCCCUCCUCCACUCCUUUAUAUAUGGGGGAGGGGGCACCCCAUAGACACAACAAUUGAUCUCUUGAUUGAAGGAAAUAUGCCCUAGAGGCAAUAAUAAAGUUAUUAUUUAUUUCCUCAUAUCAUGAUAAAUGUUUAUUAUUCAUGCUAGAAUUGUAUUAACCGUAAACAUGAUACAUGCGUGAAUACAUAGACAAACAUAUAGUCACUAGUAUGCCUCUACUUGACUAGCUCAUUAAUCAAAGAUGGUUAUGUUUCCUAACCAUAGACAUGUGUUGUCAUUUGAUUAGUGGGAUCACAUCAUUAGGAGAAUGAUGUGAUUGACAUGACCCAUUCCGUUAGCCUAGCACUUGAUCGUUUAGUAUAUUGCUAUUGCUUUCUUCAUGACUUAUACAUGUUCCUGUAACUAUGAGAAUUAUGCAACUCCCGUUUACCGGAGGAACACUUUGGGUACUACCAAACGUCACAACGUAACUGGGUGAUUAUAAAGGAGUACUACAGGUGUCUCCGAAGGUACAUGUUGAGUUGGCGUAUUUCGAGAUUAGAUUUUGUCACUCCGAUUGUCGGAGAGGUAUCUCUGGUCCCUCUCGGUAAUGCACAUCACUAUAAGCCUUGCAAGCAAUGUGACCAAUGAGUUGGUUACGGGAUGAUGCAUUACGUAAUGAGUAAAGAGACUUGCCGGUAACGAGAUUGAACUAGGUAUUGGAUACCGACGAUCAAAUCUCGGGCAAGUAACAUACCGAUGACAAAGGGAACAACGUAUGUUGUUAUGCGGUUUGACCGAUAAAGAUCUUCGUAGAAUAUGUAGGAACCAAUAUGGGCAUCCAGGUUCCGCUAUUGGUUAUUGACCGAGAAUAGUUCUAGGUCAUGUCUACAUAGUUCUCGAACCCGUAGGGUCCGCACGCUUAACGUUACGAUGAUAGUUUUAUUAUGAGUUUAUAAGUUUUGAUGUACCGAAGUUUGUUCGGAGUCCCGGAUGUGAUCACGGACAUGACGAGGAGUCUCGAAAUGGUCGAGACAUAAAGAUUGAUAUAUUGGACGACUAUAUUCGGACACCGGAUGUGUUCCGGGUGAUUUCGGAGAAAACCGGAGUGCCGGAGGGGUUACCGGAACCCCCCGGGAGAGUUAAUGGGCCACAUGGGCCUUGGUGGGAAGAGAGAGGGGCGGCCAGGGUGGGCCGCACGCCCCCUCUCCCUCUGGUCCGAAUUGGACUAGGAGGGGGGGCACCCCCCUCUUUCCUUCCCCCCUCUCCCCCUUCCUUCCCCUCCUAGUAGGAGUAGGAAAGGAGGAGUCCUACUCCUACUAGGAGGAGGACUCCUCCUCCUGGCGCGCCCCCCUUGGGCCGGCUGGCCUCCCCCCUUGCUCCUUUAUAUACGGGGGCAGGGGGGCACCCCACGACAACACAAGUUGAUCUACGGAUCGUUCAUUAGCCGUAUGCGGUGCCCCCCUCCACCAUAUUCCACCUCGGUCAUAUCGUCGCGGAGUUUAGGCGAAGCCCUGCGCCGGUAGAACAUCAUCAUCAUCACCAUGCCAUCGUGCUGAUGGAACUCAUCCCCGAAGCUUUGCUGGAUCGGAGCCCGGGGAUCGUCAUCGAGCUGAACGUGUGCUGAACUCGGAGGUGCCGUACGUUCGGUGCUUGGAUCGGUCGGAUCGUGAAGACGUACGACUACAUCAACCGCGUUGUCAUAACGCUUCCGCUUAUGGUCUACGAGGGUACGUGGACGACACUCUCCCCUCGCAUUGCUAUGCCAUCACCAUGGUCUUGCAUGUGCGUAGGAAAUUUUUGAAAUUACUACGUUCCCCAAUAGUGGCAUCCGAGCCUAGGUUUUAUGCGUUGAUGUUAUAUGCACGAGUAGAACACAAGUGAGUUGUGGGCGAUACAAGUCAUACUGCUUACCAGCAUGUCAUACUUUGGUUCAGCGGUAUUGUUGGAUGAAGCGGCCCGGACCGACAUUACGCGUACGCUUACGCGAGACUGGUUUUACCGCCGUGCUUUGCACACAGGUGACUAGCGGGUGUCUGUUUCUCCAACUUUAGUUGAACCGAGUGUGGCUACGCCCGGUCCUUGCGAAGGUUAAAAUAACACCGACUUGAUGAACUAUCGUUGUGGUUUUGAUGCGUAGGUAAGAACGGUUCUUGCUCAGCCCGUAGCAGCCACGUAAAACUUGCAACAACAAAGUAGAGGACGUCUAACUUGUUUUUGCAGGGCAUGUUGUGAUGUGAUAUGGUCAAGACGUGAUGAGAUAUAAGUUGUUGUAUGAGAUGAUCAUGUUUUGUUGAAGUUAUCGGCAACUGGCAGAAGCCCUAUGGUUGUCUCUUUGUUGCAUAAGAUGCAAGUGCCAAAUAAUUGCUUUACUUUAUCGCUGUGCGAUAGCAAUAGUUGCAAGAGCAAUAGUUGGCGAGACGACCAUGUGACGACACAUUGAUAUAGAUCAAGAUGAUGAAGAUCAUGGUGUCGUGCCGGUGACGAUAGAGAUCAUGACAAUACUUUGGAGAUGGAGAUCAAAGGCGCAAGAUGAUCAUGGCCAUAUCAUGUCACAUAUUUUGAUUGCAUAUGAUGUUUAUCUGUUAUACAUCUCAUUCUGUUUUGUUUGACGGUAGCAUUUUAAGAUGAUCUCUCACUAAUUAUCAAGAAGUGUUCUCCCUGAGUAUGCACCGUUGCGAAAGUUCUUCGUGCUGAGACACCACGUGAUGAUCGGGUGUGAUAGGCUCUACGUUCAAAUACAACGGGUGCAAAACAGUUGCACACGCGGAAUACUCGGGUUAAACUUGACGAGCCUAGCAUAUACAGAUAUGGCCUCGGAACACGAAGACCGAAAGGUCGAGCGUGAAUCAUAUAGUAGAUAUGAUCAACAUAGUGAUGUUCACCAUUGAAAACUACUCCAUCUCACGUGAUGAUCGGACAUGGUUUAGUUGAUUUGGAUCACGUGAUCACUUAGAUGACUAGAGAGAUGUCUGUCUAAGUGGGAGUUCUUAAGUAAUAUGAUUAAUUGAACUUAAAUUUAUCAUGAACUUAGUCCUGGUAGUAUUUUGCAAAUUAUGUUGUAGAUCAAUAGCUCGCGUCGUUGCUUUCAUAUCUUUAUUUUGAUAUGUUCCUAGAGAAAAUUGUGUUGAAAGAUGUUAGUAGCAAUGAUGCGGAUUGGAUCCGUGAUCUGAGGUUUAUCCUCAUUGCUGCACAGAAGAAUUAUGUCCUUAAUGCACCGCUAGGUGAUAGACCUAUUGCAGGAGCAGAUGCAGACGUUAUGAACGUUUGGCUAGCUCAAUAUGAUGACUACUUGAUAGUUUUGUGCACCAUGCUUUAUGGCUUAGAAUCGGGACUUCAAAACCGUUUUGAACGUCAUGGACCAUAUGAGAUGUUCCAGGAGUUGAAGUUAAUAUUUCAAGCAAAUACCCGAGUUGAGAGAUAUGAAGUCUCCAACAAGUUCUAUAGCUAAAAGAUGGAGGAGAAUCGCUCAACUAGUGAGCAUGUGCUCAGAUUGUCUGGGUACUACAAUCGCUUGAAUCAAGUGGGAGUUAAUCUUCCAGAUAAGAUAGUGAUUGACAGAAUUCUCUAGUCACCACCACCAAGUUAGUAGAACUUCGUGAUGAACUAUAAUGCAAGGGAUGACAAAAACGAUUCCCGAGCUCUUCGUGAUGCUGAAAUCGACGAAGGUAGAAAUCAAGAAAAAGCAUCAAGUGUUGAUGAUUGACAAGACCACUAGUUUCAAGAAAAAGGCAAAGGGAAAGAAAGGGAACUUCAAGCAGAAUGGCAAGUAAGUUGUCACUCCCGCGAAGAAGCCCAAAGCUGGACCAAAGCCUGAAACUGAGUGAUUAUACUGCAAAGGAGAUGGUCACUAGAAGCGGAAAUGCCUUGAAUAUUUGGUGGAUAAGAAGGAUGGCAAAGUGAACAAGGGUAUAUUUGAUAUACAUGUUAUUGAUGUGUACCUUACUAGUGUUUAUAGUAGCCCCUGAGUAUUUGAUACUUGUUCGGUUACUAAGAUUAGUAACUCGAAACAGGAGUUACAGAAUAAACAGAGACUAGUUGAGGGGAAGUGACGAUGAGUGUUGGAAAUAGUUCCAAGAUUGAUAUGAUCAUCAUCGCACACUCCCUAUACUUUCGGGAUUAAUGUUAAACCUAAAUAAAUGUUAUUUGGCGUUUGCGUUGAGCAUGAAUAUGAUUUGAUCAUGUUUAUUGCAAUACGGUUAUUCAUUUAAAGUCAGAGAAUAAUUGUUGUUCUGUUUAAAUGAAUAAAACCUUUGAUGGUCAUACACCCAAUGAAAAUAGUUUGUUGGAUCUCGAUCAUAGUGAUACACAUAUUCAUAAUAUUGAUGCCAAAAGAUGCAAAGUUGAUAAUGAUAGUGCAACUUAUUUGUGGCACUGCCGUUUGGGUCAUAUCGGUGUAAAGCGCAUGAAGAAACUCCAUAAAGAUGGAUUUUCGGAAUCACUUGGUUAUGAAUCAUUUGAUGCUUGCGAACCGUGCCUUUUGGGCAAGAUGACUAAAACUCCGUUCUCCAGAACAAUGAAACAAGCUACUGACUUAUUGGAAAUAAUACAUACCGAUGUAUGCGAUCCAAUGAGUGUUGAUGCUCGUGGCAAGUAUCGUUAUUUUCUGACCUUCACAAGAUGAUUUGAGCAGAUAUGGGUAUAUCUACUUGAUGAAACAUAAGUCUGAAAUAGUUGAAAGGUUCAAAGAAUUUCAGAGUGAAGUGGAAAAAUCAUCAUAACAAGAAAAUAAAGUUUCUGUGAUCUGAUCGCGGAGACGAAUAUUUGAGUUACGAGUUUGGUCUUCAAUUAAAACAAUGUGGAAUAGUUUCAUAGCUCACGCCACCUGGAACACCACAAUGUUAUGGUGUGUCCGAACGUCGUAAUCGUACUUUACUAGAUAUGGUGCGAUCUAUGAUGUCUCUUAUCAGUUUACCACUAUCGUUUUGGGGUUAUGCAUUAGAGACAGUUGCAUUCACUUUAAAUAGGGCACCGUCUAAAUCCGUUGAGACGACACCGUAUGAACUAUGGUUUAGCAGUAAACCUAAGCUAUCAUUUCUUAAAGCUUGGAGUUGCGAUGCUUAUAUGAAAAAGGUUUUCAACAUGAUAAGCUCGAACCCAAAUUGGAGAAGUGCGUCUUCAUAGAAUACCCAAAGGUAACUAUUGGGUACACCUUCUAUCACAGAUCCGAAGGCAAGUUAUUCGUUGCUAAGAUGGAUCCUUUCUAGAGAAGAAGUUUCUCUCGAAAGAAGUGAGUGGGAGGAAAGUAAAACUUGAUGAGGUAAUUGUACCUUCUCCCUUAUUGGAAAGUAGUGCAUCACAGAAAUCAGUUAUAGUGAUUCCUACACCAACUAGUGAGGAAGUUAAUGAUGAUGAUCAUGAAACUUCAGAUCAAGUUGCUACCAAACCUCGUAGGUCUUCCAGAGUAAGAUCCGCACCAGAGUGGUACGGUAAUCCUAUUCUGGAAGUCAUGUUACUAGAUCAUGAUGAACCUACGAACUAUGAGGAAGCGAUGAUGAGCCCAGAUUCCGCAAAAUGGCUUGAAGCCAUGAAAUCUGAGAAGGGAUCCAUGUAUGAGAACAAAGUGUGGACUUUGGUGGACUUUCCUGAUGAUCGGCAAGCCAUAGAAAAUAAAUGGAUCUUCAAGAGGAAUACGGACGUUGAUAGGAGUGUUACUAUCUACAAAGCUAGACUUGUCGAAAAAGGUUUUUGACAAAGUUCAAGAUGUUGAAUACAAUGAGAUUUUCUCACUCGUAUCGAUGCUUAAAAGUCUGUCCGAAUCAUGUUAGCAAUUGCCACAUUUUAUGAAAUUUGGCAAAUGGAUGUCAAAACUGCAUUCCUUAAUGGAUUUAUUAAAGAAGAGUUUAUACGAUACAACCAUAAGGUUUUGUCAAUCCUAAAGAUGCUAACAAAAUGUGCAAGCUCCAGCGAUCCAUCUACGGACUGGUGCAAGCAUCUCAGAAUUGGAAUAUACGCUUUGAUAAGUUGAUCAAAGCAUAUAGUUUUAAUACAGCCUUACGGUGAAGCCUGUAUUUACAAGAAAGUGAGUGGGAGCACUACAACAUUUCUGAUAAGUAUAUGUAUUGUUGAUCGGAAAUAAUGUAGAAUUAUUCUGCAAAGCAUGAAAGGAUACUUGAAUAAGAGUUUUUCAAAGCAAGACCUCGGUGAAGCUGCUUACACAUUGAGCAUCAAGAUCUAUAUAGAUAGAUCAAGACGCUUGAUAAGAUUUUUCAAUGAGUACAUACCUUGAGAAAUUUUUGAAAUAGUUCAAAAUGGAACAGUCAAAGAAGGAGUUCUUGCCUGUGUUACAAGGUGUGAAGUUGAGUAAGACUCAAGACCCGACCAUUGCAGAAAAAUAGAAAGAGAAUGAAAAGUCAUUCCCUAUGCCUCAGUCAUAGGUUCUAUAAAGUAUGCUAUGCUGUGAACCAGACCUAUUGUAUACCUUGCUAUGAGUUUGACAAAGGAAUACAAUUUUGAUCUAAUUUUUAGAUCACUGGACAUGGGUCAAGAAUAUCCUUAGUGAGGACUAAGGAGAUGUUUCUCGAUUAUGGAGGUGAUAAAAGAGCCCGUCAUAAAAGUUACAAUGAUGCAAGCUUUUACACCGAUCCAGAUGACUCUAAGUCUCAAUCUGGAUACAUAUUAAAAGUGGGAGCAAUUAGCUAGAGUAGCUCCGUGCAGAGCAUUGUAGACAUAGAAUAUUUGCAAAAUACAUACGGCUCUGAAUGUGACAGACCCGUUGACUAAGCUUCUCUCACGAGCAAAACAUGAUCACACCUUAGUACUCUUUGGGUGUUAAUCACAUAAGCGAUGUGAACUAGAUUAUUGACUCUAGUAAACCCUUUGGGUGUUGGUCACAUGACGAUGUGCACUAUGGGUGAUAAUCAUAUACAGAUAUGAAUAUUGAUGUUAAAUCACAUGGCGAUGUGAACUAGAUUAUUGACUCUAGUGCAAGUGGGAGACUGAAGGAAAUAUGCCCUAGAGGCAAUAAUAAAGUUAUUAUUUAUUUCCUCAUAUCAUGAUAAAUGUUUAUUAUUCAUGCUAGAAUUGUAUUAACCGGAAACAUGAUACAUGUGUGAAUACAUAGACAAACAUAUAGUCACUAGUAUGCCUCUACUUGACUAGCUCAUUAAUCAAAGAUGGUUAUGUUUCCUAACCAUAGACAUGUGUUGUCAUUUGACUAGUGGGAUCAAAUCAUUAGGAGAAUGAUGUGAUUGACAUGACCCAUUCCGUUAGCCUAGCACUUGAUCGUUUAGUAUAUUGCUAUUGCUUUCUUCAUGACUUAUACAUGUUCCUGUAACUAUGAGAAUUAUGCAACUCCCGUUUACCGGAGGAACACUUUGGGUACUACCAAACGUCACAACGUAACUGGGUGAUUAUAAAGGAGUACUACAGGUGUCUCCGAAGGUACAUGUUGAGUUGGCGUAUUUCGAGAUUAGAUUUUGUCACUCCGAUUGUCGGAGAGGUAUCUCUGGUCCCUCUCGGUAAUGCACAUCACUAUAAGCCUUGCAAGCAAUGUGACCAAUGAGUUGGUUACGGGAUGAUGCAUUACGUAACGAGUAAAGAGACUUGCCGGUAACGAGAUUGAACUAGGUAUUGGAUACCGACGAUCAAAUCUCGGGCAAGUAACAUACCGAUGACAAAGGGAACAACGUAUGUUGUUAUGUGGUUUGACCGAUAAAGAUCUUCGUAGAAUAUGUAGGAACCAAUAUGGGCAUCCAGGUUCCAUUGUUGGUUAUUGACCGAGAAUAGUUCUAGGUCAUGUCUACAUAGUUCUCGAACCCGUAGGGUCCGCACGCUUAACGUUACGAUGACAGUUUUAUUAUGAGUUUAUAAGUUUUGAUGUACCGAAGUUUGUUCGCAGUCCCGGAUGUGAUCACGGACAUGACGAGGAGUCUCGAAAUGGUCGAGACAUAAAGAUUGAUAUAUUGGACGACUAUAUUCGGACACCGGAAGUGUUCCGGGUGAUUUCGGAGAAAACCGGAGUGCCGGAGGGGUUACCGGAACCCCCCGGGAGAGUUAAUGGGCCACAUGGGCCUUGGUGGGAAGAGAGAGGGGCGGCCAGGGUGGGCCGCACGCCCCCUCUCCCUCUGGUCCGAAUUGGACUAGGAGGGGGGCACCCCCCUCUCCCCCUUCCUUCCGCUCCUAGUAGGAGUAGGAAAGGAGGAGUCCUACUCCUACUAGGAGGAGGACUCCUCCUCCUGGCGCGCCCCCCUUGGGCCGGCCGGCCUCCUCCCUUGCUCCUUUAUAUACGGGGGCAGGGGGGCACCCCACGACAACACAAGUUAAUCUACGGAUCAUUCCUUAGCCGUGUGCGGUGCCCCCCUCCACCAUAUUCCACCUCGGUCAUAUCGUCGCGGAGUUUAGGCGAAGCCCUGCGCCGGUAGAACAUCAUCAUCGUCACCACGCCGUCGUGCUGACGGAACUCAUCCCCGAAGCUUUGCUGGAUCGGAGCCCGGGGAUCGUCAUCGAGCUGAACGUGUGCUGAACUCGGAGGUGCCGUACGUUCGGUGCUUGGAUCGGUCGGAUCGUGAAGACGUACGACUACAUCAACCGCAUUGUCAUAACGCUUCCGCUUACGGUCUACGAGGGUACGUGGACGACACUCUCCCCUCUUGUUGCUGUGCCAUCACCAUGAUCUUGCGUGUGCGUAGGAAAUUUUUGAAAUUACUACGUUCCCCAACAUUGAUCUCUUAGCCGUGUGCGGUGCCCCCCUCCACCAUAGUCCUCCUCGAUAAUAUUGUAGCGGUGCUUAGGCGAAGCCCUGCGACGGUAGAACAUUAAGAUCGUCACCACGCCGUCGUGCUGAUGGGACUCUUCCUCGACACUCGGCUGGAUCGGAGUUCGAGGGACGUCAUCGAGCUGAACGUGUGCUAGAACUCGGAGGUGCCGUAGUUUCAGUGCUUGAUCGGUCGGGCCGUGAAGACGUACGACUACAUCAACUGCGUUGUUCUAACGCUUCCGCUUUCGGUCCACGAGGGUAUGUGGAUAACACUCUCCCCUCUCAUUGGUAUGCAUCAUCAUGAUCUUGCGUGUGCGUAGGAAAUUUUUGAAAUUACUACGUUCCCAACAAAAAUAACCCUCGACUUCAUUUUGAGAUGGUCAACCGGUUUUGACCGAGUCAAAAGCUGACUAGGUAGCCAACUCAACAACCAUGCCUGUUGAGUUGGCUACCUAGUCAGCUUUAACUGGGUCAAAACUGGUUAACCAACCCAAAACUGAGUCAAAGAUUAUCUUUUGAACUAUGUGGUAGCUUGAGGGUGCACUUCGACCGAUUUCGAAGAUGAGGGUGAUAAAUCAAACUGACUGGUUAAUUCGGGAUUGAAAUGUGGAGUUUUUUUGGAUUUGACACAGAGAUGAGAUGAGAUGUAUGCCGUCAUCUUGUUCGAGGAUGAGCCAUUCUCAGCGAACGUUUUUUUUUCUCUGGCGUGGCAACAAUCCCCUGCUUUAAGAUUCACGCUCUCAUCCAACGGUGGCUGAUGCGUUCGCUGGGAAACAUAAAAUAUCUUACGUUNNNNNNNNNNNNNNNNNNNNNNNNNNNNNNNNNNNNNNNNNNNNNNNNNNNNNNNNNNNNNNNNNNNNNNNNNNNNNNNNNNNNNNNNNNNNNNNNNNNNNNNNNNNNNNNNNNNNNNNNNNNNNNNNNNNNNNNNNNNNNNNNNNNNNNNNNNNNNNNNNNNNNNNNNNNNNNNNNNNNNNNNNNNNNNNNNNNNNNNNNNNNNNNNNNNNNNNNNNNNNNNNNNNNNNNNNNNNNNNNNNNNNNNNNNNNNNNNNNNNNNNNNNNNNNNNNNNNNNNNNNNNNNNNNNNNNNNNNNNNNNNNNNNNNNNNNNUGUUUUUUUGAGAAUCUUUUUUAGGAUAUGUGAUCUGGGCUUAGGACACGAGCCUUUCGAGCCCGCGCAAUGCGUAUGGUCUCGGCCCGUGUAGGCCUUACUCGGCACCUGACGGACUUGAUACAACCGAAGCAACAUCGGAACCGAAAGCAUCCCAACUCCCAAGCUCCGCACCACCGCACCUCGGCGAGACGGCGACCAUCUCCCUCAUGCCGUCGUCGUCGCCGGCGAUGGCGAUCCAGCCACCACCGCGGCCACCGGCUCAGGAGCUCGACCUCGACGCCUUCCUCCCGUCUUCUCCCGCCUCCUCCUCAGCCUCCGACGCCGACGCCGAUCACCGCCGCGCCGUCGACGACCUGCUGCUCCUCCUCUCCUCCUCCGACUCCGAAGGCGACGACGAGCCAACCCGUGCGCCCGCCACCAACCUCAAACCCCUAACCAGUAUCAAAGCCCCACCGCCGCCCCCUAAACCUUCUCCCCCAUCUCCUCUGCCAUCGCCUUCCGCUUCCCCCGGGAGAUCCACCUCCGCAUCGCCGUCGGCGACGCUCUCCUCCCUCGUCUCGAGAACCUUUUCGAGCAACGCUGCUUCCUCGUCCACCUCCUCGGCGAGGCCGCUCCCCUCGCUCUUCCGGGGUGUCCGCCCAAGCCCCAAGCCCGGCGCCGCCCUGGCCGCGGCGGCAGCCGCGUCCCGCGCCGUCCUCACCCCGCACGCCGCUGCAAUUAAGUCGCGGCGCACCGCCUCCGCGCCCAUCGAUAAGCUCCUCGACGAGGGCUCCGGCUCCGAAGCCUCCGAGGGGAUCCUUUCCACUGGAAAUCUCGAAGCAGAGGAAGUAGCUGAGAAGGUCAGUGAGGAAGUGGUUGCUAGGGUGACCGAGGAAGCUGUCGGUGGGAGUGGGGAUGAAGAAUUGGAAGAGGACAAGCACGGGGAAGUGGGGACUGAAGAGAAUUCCGAGCCCUCCGAAUUGGUGGACCUAGGCAAUGUCGAUUCUGUUGCUGUGGAUAAUGUCAAUGAGCAGGAGCAACUUGGGGGCGAGAAUUUGGCAGAAACAUAUCAAGCUGGGAGUCAAAUUGGGCUUGUUGAUGAAGAAAAUAGUGAUGAGCAACUUAGUGAUGGAAAUUUAGCGGAAGCUGGUGAGAUUGUGGAUCAAGAUGGGUCAGUUUCCGAGGAAAAGACUGAUGAUGGUCUGGAAGCUGAAUUUUCUGACACUGACUUGGAAGAGCUACUGGAAUCUGAGCGCAUCAUUGAUAAGGUGAUCGAAGAGAGGUUGGAGAUCAGCAGGAUGGCUGAAAAAAAUGCGGAGAAAAGGCCGAAGGUACCGAUGAAACCACUGGAGCGGGCUGAGGAGCUUGAGAAGAGACAGGCCUCAUUUGGGCAUCUCUGGGAGGAGGGAGCAGCAGCUCAACCCAUGCACCUGGAGGGGAUUGGGAAGGGGCAACCAGCUAUUGGUUACAUGCAGAUUGAGGUGGACAACCCAAUAACUCGUGCCAUGGCAUCUCCCUCUUUUAGACAGGACCAUGGCUCUCCUCAGGUCUUAGCAGUACAUAGGAGCUAUAUUGCCAUGGGCAUGUCCACUGGAUCUGUUAUCAUCGUCCCAAGCAAAUACUCCAUCCAUCAAGCUGAUGAUACAGAUGCAAAGGUUAGUCAUUGCCUCCUUGGUGCUGGUGUGCAUAUUGCUGGUUUUGGUCAAUACUAUAUGGUUUAGUGGCAUGCUUCACAUGUUGGACUUCAAGAUGUUUCAGUAUUAUGUGGUAUACACUUGAAGAUGAUUCAUUAGAUAACACUGAGUCGUAGACACUACUUGGGGUCACAACUUUGCAAGAGUUGUAUGCAUCACUUGGUGUUACAUUUUGCUGGACUUCACACCUUCCUUGACUUGAAGAGAAAUUUGGGAGGAAAAAAGAUGUGGUCAUACCAAUUUUACUGGGAUGACCAUACAUUGUAUUUGUGCACCAUCAUUCGGAAAUAAGUCUUGUGAUCAGGGUUGCACUUACAUCUUGUAUAAAUAAAUCAAUCCAGAUUCAGUGCGUUGCAAAUAAUGAUAUUGAACUUGACAUGCAAACAUCUGGUGUUCCCAUUACUGCCCUAGUAUACCAGACUUGAAUACAAACAUGGCAUUUAGGUAGAAUUUCAAAAGCAUACAGAAUCUUAGAUUUGGAGCAGAAACAAGAGGUACAAUAAGGUCCCCACAAGGAAUCUGCUCAAGUGGCUCUACUAACAUGACUGAAAUUCCAGUUGCUGCUAUGCUAUGCAUCAGUGACAGUAACACAUUGGAAUAAAUCUACACAGUGGAGCUUGUUAUUUUCGGUAAUCCAUCUGGUUGUUUAAUAGGGGAUAAAGAAGAAAACACUACAUGCAGCACAGAAUAUAAAAAACUCAUCUAUUGCUGUACAUUGGUAUUGUCAGCAGGAGUUAUGCAUCACCCUGCCAGAUCUGCGUGUUUUAUGGUGUUGCCAGAAGUUGACCAUGUGGGGUUUAUGUACACACUAAAUUUUUUGUGAGGCCUAUUCCCUGUUCUCAUACUUAUGUCCAAAGUUCACUAAGGCAACGCUGUGGAAAAUAGGCCAAACAGUAACACAUCCUUCAUAGUGGGGCCCACUUAUAGUCUUUAGCAGUUGAUGGCAACAAUAGAAGACAAGGGUUACCUUGAUAUUUUUAUUAGAUGGCUCCAUACUCAAAUAUUCAUACAUUUAAAGGAACUAUUCCUGUGUGCCAGAAUCUAAUCAUGCCAACUUUGAUUGAUUUGCCAUAAUUUCUAUUUAAAAAGGUGAUUGAUUGUAUGGCAUUGAUUGCCAUGCCAUACAUAAAUGGUAGAAAUAAUUAGAUGCAUCCAGUUGUUUCAGAAGAUUAUGAUACAUCUCUAUGUUCUUUUACGAACAAGGAACCGGAAGAAACUGUUUUUGGCUUUUUAUGUUUAGCUCGCCCAAAUCAUCAAGGCACUUUUAACUUCUUGUUCCACAGUUCACCAAUUAAUCUCUGCACAAUUGGCUCGCUGAAAAUUAAUAUUUUUCCAAGAUGGUACAUGAACUUGAAAAGUAAUCUCCCGGAUUGGGGUGUACUGCACAUUUCAUGUGUUUGUCAGUCAUAUAAUAAUUCAGUGGCUGCACAUAUAGCUAUUAAUCUUAUAAGCCAGUAGCCAUUUGCUAUUCAAAAAUCUUGUUGGAUGAACUCUUGGAAAAUAAUAAAACCGCAAUACUGGUUAUGAUUUGAAUGAGGACAGUUGUUGUAGAUUAGUGGUUCUGAUGUCCUGGGAAUUAUAUGUCACUUUGAUUUUUCGGUCUGUAAAGAUUGCUUUUAUUAUUUCAGAUGCUGUUCUUUUGGAAUCAAGGUGAGAAAACCCAAUCACCAGUGACUGCCAUGUGCUUUAACCCGCAAGGGGAUCUUCUGCUAGUAGGAUAUGGUGAUGGUCAUAUGACAAUUUGGGAUGUACAGAAAGCUACUGCAGCAAAAGUCAUAUAUGGUGAGCAUACAGGAGCUGUAGUGCAUGUUUGUUUUAUCCGCCAAUCUAAAGCCAUCACUGGUGAUUCAAAAGGGCUUGUUCUUCUGCACACCUUCUCUAUUAUCCCCGUCAUUAAUCGCUUGACUGUUAAGGGAACUCAGGUAUGAAGAAACAUCAUUCUUUCCAUUGUAUACAUAUUAAUCCACUUGAUCCCCUUUUAAAUAUAUUACUGCUCUGACAAAACAUAGCUACACUUUGCCAGCGCCUUUUUGAUGGAAACACUGGAAUCGUGCUCUCAGCCUGUCCUCUUCUAGCGGAUGAAUCCUUUGGUUCUGGAAACUCAUCUAUGCAGGGCAACCUACCAACUUCCUCCAGUGGUGGUCUUGGGAGCAUGAUGGGAGGUGUAGUUGGAGUAGAUUCUGGAUGGAAGUUUUUCAAUGAAGGUUCUUCUCCAUUGGAGGAUGGUGUUACAGUCAUGUUCAUUAUGCAUCAACAUGCUCUUGUGGUACGGAUGAUAUAUUUAAUAAUGGAAACAUUUUGUAAUUUUUUCACUAUCUGUUAUCUUGUGAACUCACAAUUACCAUGACUCUUGUACUGAUUUAUGAUGUUAUGUGUUUCUCCUGUUAGGUUAGACUCCGUACCAACAUUGACCACGUUGACCAUAUUGAGAACUUCUCUAGACCAGAUGGAGCACGCGAAGGGUCAAUUGCUUAUGCUGCAUGGAAAUACACAUCGUCCUCCACUGAUUCAUCGCCAAUUGGUAAGAUUAGACCUCCUUAGACAUUGACAAUGAUUGGUAGUUCCUUAUAUUGGUAAAUUUUAGUUUCUUGGACUAAAAAUGACAACACUAUAGAUGAAGAGCGAGUAUCUUGGCUUGCGCUUGCAUGGGACCGUCAAGUACAAGUUGCAAAACUUGUUAAAUCGAAGAUGAUCAGACAUAAGGACUGGAAGCUUGAUAGUGCCGCUGUUGGCGUUGCCUGGUUAAAUGAUCAGGCAUGCAAAAGUCUCCCCUUUUGGUUAUUCAUUUAGUCUAUGUCUUUUUCCCAGUUGUAAAAUCAAAUUACUUUUUUUCUUCCCAUUCAGAUGUUAGCUGUCCUUAACUUGAAAGGGCAGCUCUGUUUGUUCUCAAAAGAUGGCAGUGAGCUUCGCAGGACUAUCUUUAUUCUUGAUGGUUUUGUCUUCGAUGACAGCAUACUGUACCAUACACAUUUUUCUAACAGGUUUGGCAACCCUGAGAGACAUUUUAACAACUCAGUAGCAGUGAGAGGUGCUACAGUAUAUAUUCUUGGCCCAAGCUUUCUUACAGUUUCGCGACUUCUUCCAUGGAAAGAGCGGAUUGAAGCACUAAAGAUGGCUGGUGAUUGGAUGGGUGCACUGGACAUGGCAAUGAAGCUUUAUGACGGUCACACACAGGGUGUUGUUGAUCUUCCGAGAACAGUUGAUUCUAUAAGGGGAGCCAUAAUGCCGUAUUUAGUAGAGUUGCUGCUGUCAUAUAUAGGUUAUGUCUUCGAAUAUAUUUCAAUUGCAUUGUCAAAUCAUACUGGAAAGGGGGGAGCAACAGAUGGCCUGAUAGAUGCCGAUAGAUCCCUGCUGACACAGAGAGAAGAACAAUAUGCUCGUGUAGGAGGGGUUGCAGUCGAGUUUUGUGUUCACAUUGGUCGGAAUGACAUCCUGUUUGAUACAGUCUUCUCUAAGUUUGUUGCUGCCCAAAGUGGAGGUAGGCUUGUUCUAAUUAACUCAUAAGAACUAGCAACCUUCUUAUUUUGCUUAACUCUGAUGUUUAUUCUGUUCAUGCCUGAAGUUGACGCAAUCCUCUCUUCCAUGUUUUAAUGCAUCUUUCUUUAGAUCAUUUGUUGAUACAUCCUGUGGUCCUCCUAAUUUUUUUCUCUACAAGAACGCAAAGGAAGAUACUUUCCUGCUUCUGUUCUGAGUUGCAGGCAUUCUGUAAAUCUCUUUUGAUGGAUGCUUUAAUGAGCUCUAUUUGCGUGGCCAGGCAUUUUUUCUUUCUUUUAUUGCUUUGACUCCAUUUAAUUUGGAAUUAUUUUACUUGCACUUUUGAAGAUUCCAGUCUUUAAAGGAAUAUUCUAGAGGAUUUUAUAUUAAUUUUCAUGUGGUAUACUAUAAGAAAUGCUUUGCGUAUGUCAAUUAUCUGUUUGCUGAUAAGAUUGUGCACGCACAUGUUUCUGCUAUUAAAUUACUGCUAUAACUUGAAAAGGCUGACAUGGCAUACAUAACAGGUAUAUUUCUGGAGGUACUAGAGCCAUAUAUAUUGAAAGAUAUGCUGGGUUCUUUACCCCCUGAGGUGAGUGCCACUGAGGAUUUUCUAGUGUUAGCACAUGAAUUUGCAAAUGAUUAUACAUUUAUGCCAAUUUGAUUUGUAGAUCAUGCAAGCUCUAGUAGAGCAUUAUAGUGGCAAAGGAUGGUUGCAGCGAGUCGAACAAUGCAUUCUUCAUAUGGAUAUUUCAUCACUGGAUUUUAAUCAGGUAUACAUAAAAGUUGCAUUCAAGUACUGUAAGAGGUCCAUUUGUAGAGCUUUAUCGGACAUGUUUCAUUGUUUACAUUCAUUGACCAAGAAAAACCCUUUUCAGUAUCUUCUGGUACCGCUUUUGUAGUUUGGACAGAUGUGUUGCACAAUUAUGCAUCCGCAUGAUAUUGUUCUACUUGUUCUGUUUGCAGGUAGUCAGACUCUGUCGUGAGCAUGGGUUAUAUGGUGCUCUAAUUUAUUUAUUUAACCAAGGGUUGAAUGAUUUCCGUACACCUCUAGAGGAACUUCUAUCUGUCAUCCAGAAUGCUACUCGAAAAGAUGCUACUUCUACUUGGUAUGCCGUACUCUUGCCAGUAAGAGUUGUAUUAAACUCGCUCAUAAUCAAUCACAUUGCUCGUAUAGAUGAGAUAAUAGUACACAUUAUGUUCAAGUUAUUGAUAUGUGAUUUGAGCAUACUUGUGUUAUUCUGAAGUUCCUGAUUGAAUAUCUGUUCUGGUAAAUUGAUUAAUCAGAAUUUGAUAAUUUUCUUAGCAUUAGUUACUUGGUUAUCAUUGCAAUUUACAUGAAUCUUCAUUUGAAAUGCAUCUCUAUGUUUCCCCUGAGAUUUCUCUAUGACAUGCAUGAGUGUGAACAAAAAUGUUGAUACUAAGCAAAAAACAUCCCAUGCUUUCAAAGGGCUUGGUUAGACUUGCUUGAUUUUGUUUGAUACUGCUAGCGGCCUAGUUUUGUAUAUGCAAUUGGUGUUUCUUUUAGAAUAUAAUACUAGUGCUAUGUGGAAGGCCAGUAUCUUACCAUAUUUUCACUUUAACAGCUACAGAAUGCUUGUUUAUCUGAAGUAUUGCUUCCAGGGCCUAGCAUUUCCUCCAGGUUAGUAAUGUAAGCCAUUCACGGCAUGAUUUUUACUAUUUCAUAAAUUCUAUGCUAGUUUAAUGUGACCUUAGACUGUUUUUCCUGUGCUGUUGGGCUUUUGGUGGGCCUUGAAUCUGGUAGAUUGAAAGUGUGUUAGUAAAACUAUGUGCGUCAAUUUUGAUAUUCUAAAAUUGGAAAGUUUAGAUUUGCUAUGAGGUGCGGGUGUUGUGUUAUCUUCACGGGAACAUCUGCAUACUUCCAACAGGAUUAUGUUCUGAACUAGGAAUACACAUGAACAUGCUAAUGCUAUAUAGGAUCCUCUUAUAAGACAAUUCAACUCCAUGAUAUGUUAUCACAUGAUCUAUUUUUGCAGGGCAUGGAACAAUUCCCCGAGCCCAGCUUCAUGCAGUGAGAAAAGAACUUCUGCAAUUCAUGCUCGAGGACUCUAAAAUGCUCACUUCUGAAGUAUUUAAGGGUUUUAGUUCUUCUUCUGGAAAAUGCCCAAACAUAUGCUAUCUACUAUGGAUGGAUACGGAAGCUACUUUGGAAGUUGUCAAGUGUGCUUUUGCACAAGAGAAUUUUGAACCUACUUCUAGUAUUCUUGAUGCAUCUGUAUCUAAGGAUGAAGAAGAUACUGAUAUUGAAAGCCCAGAUAGUCAAAAUAUUUUGUUACAAACUGUAGUUGACACCAUCAUUCAUAUUGUUGGUUUAGAAAAUGAGGCGAUCCAUUCCGUUGUUGUGGGUACUGCUGAGUCAGAAGAACUUUGGCCUUCAGUGAGUGACUUCAGUCAUAUCAUUGAAUUUGUAUCCUUUUUUGUUUCCCAUAAAAGGGCAAAUGCAUCUCAAAGAGUUCUCAAGCACAUUCUUAAAUACCUCACGUCAUCCACUACAUCAUACGAUGAUAAAAAGAUGCCACCUCAGAAAGAAGUUCUUCAGCUCUUCAACGUGGUUCCUCAAACUGACUGGAAUUCUGAUUAUGUGUUGAAUCUUUGUUUAGAUGCCCAUUUUCAUCAGGUUUGUCACUACUACCUUUGGAAAGUUCACCUGUAUAAUAUAGCCCUGCUGCUCAAAAAUAUCUUUCAGCCUAUGACUGUAAAUAUAUUGUUACUAUACAGGCCUGUGGCAUGAUAUAUACAGCCAGAAAUCAAAAUUUGGCUGCUUUAGAUAGUUACAUGAAGGAUACAAUGGAACCAUACCAUGCAUUUAUCUUCAUCAACAAAAAGUUACUUCAAUUGGCAAGUGAUGAAGCUUUGUCGUUUCGUUCCAUAGUAAUAUCUCAUUUUGCUGAGCUAGUCAAUCUAAGCAGGUGAGCUUGUUAAUUAAUGUUUUAACUAGUAAUAUUCUUCCCCUUUAAAUUUUCACUUGCUGGCUUGUCUUUCUACCGAAUGUGCUCAAUUUCUCUCCUAUCCUUUCAUUUUCUUAGGGAGUGUGCAUUUGUGUUGGUCAUUGAUCAUUUUCAUGAUGAGAUCCAGCAAAUAUUGGCAGAGCUUCAUUCUGAUCACCGCAGCCUCUUUCUUUUCUUGAAAACUGCAAUCGAAGUACACUUGUCAGGAAAACUUGACUUCAGUGAACUUACUGCCAGAAACUAUGAAAUUGUUGAAAGUCUGUACUCUGGCGAACUCGAAGAUUAUCUUCAGAGAUUAUCAAAUCUCCCAAAGUUGUUUGACCGCAAUCCUAUUUCUAUGACUGAUAAGUUAGUUGAACUCUAUCUGGAGGUACGUUUUUUGACAGAUUUUUAACAUCAGUAUAUUUGAAAUAGAGCUUUUUAACCAUAAUGAAAUACCUUUGGUUGGAGCCUUAUGCCAUCAGUGUAGACUUUAGUAGAGCCUUUCACCUCUAUAUUGUCACAAAAGUUGUACUGGGAGAACAAUCUAUCGGCAACUGGUAGUGCAGUGAUUUGCCAUAACCGUUAUAUUGAAUCAUUGAGCAGUAUGUGCUUUGCAAAUACAACACAGACAAAGUUGCUUAAUGUUAACCAUUAUAAAUGUUCCAAAAGGCGAUGUUAAACAUUGCCUACUCACUAGCCGGAGCCUGGUUAUGGUUCACCUCUAGGCAGUGGUCUUAGGCGACCUUCGAGGGGCCAGUGUGGAAUCAGCACUAUUUUGAACCUUGACCAUUAUACUGCACAAAAUGUUCUAAUCUGAACAAACUAUCAGCAGUUGGUUGAACACUAAGUCAAUAUCAUGACAUGAAACCAAGAAGCAAAAAUUUCCUUGCAACUAAGAUACUACGGAGUCUGAUGGUAUCAUUGUAUCCUUGUAGUUGUAUUUGGCUGACCUUGGGCGCAGUUUUGUACCUCAGGUCUAGAGUUGAUUGUUUGGUUACAAUGAUUGAGUCCUGGUGAGACAUCAUGGUUGGAAAAACCAGAGGAUUCCUUGAGAACAUAUUUGUGGGCAGUAUUGCACUCUAGUUUUUUUGGAGCUUUAGACUCCAAUAUUAUAUUUGAAACUGUUGUUGUCAAAUCAAUAUGUCAAUUGCUGUUUCUUCAUUUUGUUACGGUGAAUGGUACAAAUUUUGCCACUUUUCUGAAGAGGUGCAAAGUUGACCUUACUGAUGCAAUUUGUUAGGUUGAAGUUUUUUUAGUGGCAGCACAUGCUUUGCGAGAUCAUCAUCCUUUUUUUGUUAAUCAAAUACGCCUUCUUGCACAGCUUCUGUGUCAGUAUGAACCAAGGUCAGUUCUGAAGUUUCUGGAGACUUUCGAUAGCUACAGAUUGGAGAGGUGUUUGCUCCUUUGUCUAGAUUAUGGAGUUACAGAUGCUGCUGCAUUUCUGCAAGAGAGAGUUGGUGAUGUUGCGAGCGCGUUGGAACUUGUUCUAGCUGGACUAGAUGAGAAAGUUAACCAGUUUAUCGCUUCGGUGGAAAAUGCGUUCUCUCGGACAUCGUCAAAGAGUAUCUCUGAAAUUGAGCAACCAGACAUUGUUCUAAACAUGAGCGAGGUUCUUUUUCUUGUGCCUAUUGAAAUACUAACCAUAUUUGUUUCCUCUGUUGUAUAGUUGGUAACAUAUUUGAUACUCAUUUAGGCUCAUCCAGUGCUUGAUGUGUUACGUUCCUCCAUUGGAUUGUGCCAAAGGAAUUCACAGCGUUUAGAUCCAGAGGAGUCUCAGUUACUUUGGUUUCAACUGGUUGACUCGUAAGUUGUGCCAAUAUAUAGUUAUAUACAUAAAUACUUUCUUUCAAAAACAUUUCUCACUGCAAUAUAUUGGCAUUUUGUCCUAUUAUUUGGAUCUAUAACUAGAAAUUUGAUAGUCGUUGCUGGUUUUUGUUAGUAGUGAUAUGUUAUUUGGCAGAUGUGAAUCAUGUGAUAUGGUUCUCUUUUCACUAGUAAUUUAGCAUGUGCACUGUCCAAAUAUCCACCUUAAGGCAUCAUCUCUAUUGGUCAUUGGCCUGGGGCACUGCCACAGGAGCUGCGCAUGGACAAGUGAGAGUAUAACAUAGGAUCAAUUAAAUCUCACUUAAUGCUGAUUAACUUUCCACUCUCUUGUAACUGAUGCAAUUUUGAGGUAAUUUGCAGGGGUAGAAUUUAAUUUGUGAGUCUGAUCUCAUGGAUGCUUAAAAACAUUUGGAUCACACCCUACUUGUACCUUGUAUAGUUGUACAGAUUGCUAGGAAUAUGAUCCUAAAAUGUACUGACUGCUGAUCUUCUGCCAUUCUCGAAACUAAUACUGUUCUCAAGCAAGGCUUAUUAUUAAAUACUGAUAGAUAUCUGUCAAGCAGUGUAAAGUAUUGUUGCACUUUUGUUUUGUUGAGGGGCCAUCAUAUCAGAAUAUCCCUCUAUCGUUCUGGUAGAUACAAUUUCUGCUAAUGCCAUUAUGUUGUUGGUGCAGUUUCUCAGAUCCACUGAAAAAGUUGUAUGGAAGCAAAGUUGUAAAUGGAAAAGGUUGUUGGUCCGUGGGUGGUGAAACAACAAAUGGACAUCAAACAGGCAAAGGAUUCUCACAAAAAAUGGUGAAUUCAGCUUAUCAAAGGUGUUUGAAUACUCUGCGGAGAGUUUUCUCACAAUUUGUUGGAGAGAUAAUUGAGGCAAUGGCUGGGUAUAUACCCCUGCCAGCAAUUAUGGCAAAGCUAUUAUCUGACAAUGGAAGUCAAGAGUUUGGUGAUUUUAAACUUGUCAUACAUAGAAUGCUGUCUAUGUAUCUCUACGAAAAAAGAAUACUGGUACACACAUACUGAUUUUCCUUCCUUUGCCUUUUACUUAGUAAGUAUAACAUGCAUGGCGUUUGAUGCUUUGCAAAACACCAAUCACUGGGCAAUAGGCCAUUAUCUUUGACAUAACAAAUUACAUAUUCCAUUGCAAUAGAGCAGAGUUGUUACAUUAUGUCAAGUUGAUUUGUAUCCCUUGUCCUGAAGCUUCAGUGCUUAAAGUGAUUGAAAAUAACCCAAGGCUUUUAAUAUUACAUUUUUUAGCUAAAUUCAUGAACCAAGUGCCGUAAAGCGCUUAUACACUUUAUGGAUCAAUUAACAUAUUCCUACUGAUCUAACUAGUGUCGAGACAAUGAUAUCUUGAACUAAUUUUUUAAUUUGUUCGAUUAAAUGUUGUUUCUUCAGUAUUUUCUUGCAAUAUUUCCUAUUCUAUAUGGAAGACCAGUUAAGUUAACUAUGGUGAAACGAGUUCAUCACCUUCUUUGGUUAUUUUCUUCUGUAUUUUAUCCAGUAGUAAAAAUUAUAGCGCCUCUGAUACCUUGCGCACCUGCUUGCAGGAAACAGCUAAGUCAGUUAUCGAGGAUGAUUCGUUCUAUACCUUGAGCUUAUUAAAGAGAGGGGUUUGUCAUGGAUUUGCUCCACAGACUUUUGUCUGUUGUGUAUGCAACUGCUCACUUUCUAAAGAAGGUGCUAUUUCAGCAGUUCGAGUAUUCAGUUGUGGACAUGCAACACAUCUUCACUGUGAGUCUGAACAAAGCAAAUCAUCCAAUAAGGAUUUUAAAGAUGGAUGUCCAGUUUGUCUCUCAAUGAGUGACACACAAGCCCGAAACAAAUCACCUAUAAUAGCUGAGAAUGGGCUACCCAAGUAUCCCGUGGUUGAACAUGAAGUACCAUAUGGCGUCCAUCAUAAUCACGAGACAGAUCAUGUUGAGAGAUCUCGUGCGCUUCACCAGAUGUCACGGGUAGGAAUAUCUUAAGAUAUUUCUUUUCUGCUAGUAUAAUAAAUUUCUCAUCCUUAGUGGCGCGCUACAUCGGCGCCCGGAUGUAGUGGAAAAUGAGCAAGGGUCUUCGCAUUUGACUCGACGAGUGCGAAGGGUAAGGAAGCUAGCCGAGCCUAGGAGGAUUCGCUUAGGUAGCUGGAACGUAGGGUUUCUGACAGGGAAGCUUCGGGAGCUAGUUGAUGCAGCGGUGAGGAGAGGUGUUAAUAUCCUUUGCGUCCAAGAAACCAAAUGGAGAGGACAGAAGGCGAAGGAGGUGGAGGAUACCGGCUUCAAGCUAUGGUACACGGGGACGGCUGCAAACAGAAAUGGCGUAGGCAUCUUGAUCAACAAGAGCCUCAAGUAUGGAGUGGUAGACGUCAAGAGACGUGGGGACCGGAUUAUCCUGGUCAAGCUGGUAGUUGAGGACUUGGUUCUCAAUGUUAUCAGCGCGUAUGCCCCGCAAGUAGGCCACAAUGAGAACACCAAGAGGGAGUUCUGGGAAGGCCUGGAAGACAUGGUUAGGAGUGUACCGAUUGGUGAGAAGCUCUUCAUAGGAGACCUCAAUGGCCACGUGGGUACAUCUAACACAGGUUUUGAAGGGGCGCAUGGGGGCUUUGGCUAUGGCAUCAGGAAUCAAGAAGGAGAAGAUGUCUUAAGCUUUGCUCUAGCCUACAACAUGAUUGUAGCCAACACCCUCUUUAGAAAGAGAGAAUCACAUCUGGUGACUUUUAGUAGUGGCCAACACUCUAGCCAGAUUGAUUUCAUCCUCUCGAGAAGGGAACACAGGCGUGCAUGCCUAGACUGUAAGGUGAUACCUGGAGAGAGUGUUGUACCCCAGCAUAAGCUGGUGGUUGCUGACUUCCGCUUUCGGAUUCGUGUCCAGCGGGAUAAGCGGGCUAAAGUCGCUAGAACGAAGUGGUGGAAGCUCAAGGGGGAGGUAGCUCAGGCAUUCAAGGAGAGGGUCAUUAAGGAGGGCCCUUGGGAGGAAGGAGGGGACGCGGACAAUGUGUGGAUGAAGAUGGCGACUUGCAUUCGUAAGGUGGCCUCAGAGGAGUUUGGAGUGUCCAGGGGAAGGAGAAGCGAAGAUAAGGAUACCUGGUGGUGGAAUGAUGAUGUCCAGAAGGCGAUUAAAGAGAAGAAAGAUUGCUUUAGACGCCUAUACCUGGAUAGGAGUGCACACAACAUAGAGAAGUACAAGAUGGCGAAGAAGGCCGCAAAGCGAGCUGUUGGUGAAGCAAGGGGUCGGGCGUAUGAGGACCUCUACCAACGGUUAGGCACGAAGGAAGGCGAAAGGGACAUCUAUAAGAUGGCCAAGAUCCGAGAGAGGAAGACGAGGGAUAUUGGCCAAGUCAAAUGCAUCAAGGACGGAGCAGGCCAACUCUUGGUGAAGGACGAGGAGAUUAAGCAUAGAUGGCGGGAGUACUUCGACAAGCUGUUCAAUGGGGAGAAUGAAAGCUCUACCAUUGAACUGGACGACUCUUUUGAUGAGACCAACAUGCGUUUUGUGCGUCGAAUCCAGGAGUCUGAGGUCAAGGAGGCUUUAAAAAGGAUGAAGGGAGGCAAGGCGAUGGGCCCGGAUUGUAUCCCCAUUGAGGUGUGGAAAGGUCUCGGGGACAUAGCGAUAGUAUGGCUAACCAGGCUUUUCAAUCUCAUUUUUCGGGCAAACAAGAUGCCAGAAGAAUGGAGACGGAGUAUAUUAGUACCAAUCUUCAAGAACAAGGGGGAUGUUCAGAGUUGUACUAAUUACCGUGGAAUUAAGCUGAUGAGCCAUACAAUGAAGCUAUGGGAGAGAGUCAUUGAGCACCGCUUAAGAAGAAUGACAAGCGUGACCAAAAACCAGUUUGGUUUCAUGCCUGGGAGGUCGACCAUGGAAGCCAUUUUCUUGGUACGACAGCUUAUGGAGAGAUAUAGGGAGCAAAAGAAGGACUUGCAUAUGGUGUUCAUUGACUUGGAGAAGGCCUAUGAUAAGAUACCGCGGAAUGUCAUGUGGUGGGCCUUGGAGAAACACAAAGUCCCAGCAAAGUACAUUACCCUCAUCAAGGACAUGUACGAUAAUGUUGUGACAAGUGUUCGAACAAGUGAUGUCGACACUGAUGACUUCCCGAUUAAGAUAGGACUGCAUCUUGGGUCAGCUUUGAGCCCUUAUCUUUUUGCAUUGGUGAUGGAUGAGGUCACAAGGGAUAUACAAGGAGAUAUCCCAUGGUGUAUGCUCUUUGCGGAUGAUGUGGUGCUAGUUGACGAUAGUCGGGCGGGGGUAAAUAGGAAGUUAGAGUUAUGGAGACAAACCUUGGAAUCGAAAGGGUUUAGGCUUAGUAGGACUAAAACCGAGUACAUGAUGUGCGGUUUCAGUACUACUAGGUGUGAGGAGGAGGAGGUUAGCCUUGAUGGUCAGGUGGUACCUCGGAAGGACACCUUUCGGUAUUUGGGGUCAAUGCUGCAGGAGGAUGGGGGUAUUGAUGAAGAUGUGAACCAUCGGAUCAAAGCCGGAUGGAUGAAGUGGCGCCAAGCUUCUGGCAUUCUCUGUGACAAGAGAGUGCCACAAAAGCUAAAAGGCAAGUUCUACACGCAAUGUUGUAUGGCGCUGAGUGUUGGCCGACUAAAAGGCGACAUGUUCAACAGUUAGGUGUGGCGGAGAUGCGUAUGUUGAGAUGGAUGUGUGGCCACACGAGGAAGGAUCGAGUCCGGAAUGAUGAUAUACGAGAUAGAGUUGGGGUAGCACCAAUUGAAGAGAAGCUUGUCCAACAUCGUCUGAGAUGGUUUGGGCAUAUCCAGCGCAGGCCUCCAGAAGCUCCAGUGCAUAGCGGAUGGCUAAAGCGUGCGGAGAAUGUCAAGAGAGGGCGGGGUAGACCGAAUUUGACAUGGGAGGAGUCCGUUAAGAGAGACCUGAAGGAUUGGGGUAUCACCGAAGAGCUAGCUAUGGACAGGGGUGCAUGGAAGCUUGCUAUCCAUGUGCCAGAGCCAUGAUUAUAAAUAUAUACAAAAUUUGUUGGUUGCAAGAUCUUAUGGGUUUCACCUCUAGCCUACCCCAACUUGCUUGGGACUAAAGGCUUUGUUGUUGUUGUUGUAUUACCAGGCGCUUUCCAAAAACUUGACUUGUGAUAUUUGGAAGCCCUGGUCCAGUUAUAACUUGUGAUAUCUCUCUUGUAAUGAAUAUAAUAUUACAUCCUGUUUUGGUUAUCUGUGUUAGAUAUUAUAUCAGCUGUGUACUUGGUUAUGCUUUGGUCAGUGAUAUAGAAUUUAGUGUCCACUCUAAUACUUUAAAUUUAGUUAAUAAAAAAAUCUAAGUUAAUUCUAGUUUUUCAAUGGUGAUAAAAUGGAUCUGGCUCUAUACUCUGUACUUCUAUAGUACUAGCUAAAGUUUUUGCCACGAUAUUUCCUUUUGCAGUUUGAAAUACUGAACAAUCUCCAGAAAGGUCAGAAGUCUUUUCAUAUUGAGACUGUACCCCCGUUGAAACUUUCUCCGCCAGCCAUAUAUCAUGAAAAGAUACAAAAGAGAGUAAGUUUGGUGGGAGAAUCCAGCAGACAUUCAGUUAGAAGUGAAAAACCACAGAAAAUAUGGCACAUGAAGGAGCCAAAAUCAAAGAAAUCAGGGAAUUGGCUUCCACCAAAGUCAAGCAUAUUCAGUAAGUCUCUGAUUCUCUCGGUUGACUGAAUAAACAUGAUCAUCACAGUAUUGAUCUUAUCUUGGACUCUUAUUUGUCUAUUUACCUUUUAAAAUAUUCUGCAGGUUCUGACAAGAAUCAAGUGCGGUAGACUACUGAUUGUACGGUAUGUAGCUCGGUGAUAUUUAUGUGCUGGUAAUUUUGUUGAGAGUGUUUGUAUGCUUCUGUCAUCUGUGAGAUCAUCAUUGAUAUUUUUUCUAAAUGUCGAGACUUAAUAAGAUCCCCUCACUAAGCAGAUUCAGGCUUAUUUUUUUUUCUUGGAGAAAAUGAUUUAGACUCAAUUGACACUGGUGCCUUUGAGGCACCAUAUCAAUCAUCUGCUCAACAAAAAAAAAACACAUCUGGUCCCACAAGCACAUCACAAU